CAAAACAAAGUUUACAUAGUUGAUGCAAAGUUUAAGAUGGUUUUUAAUUUCUAAGUGGUGUCUUGAGAAACAAAAAAAAAAAGAAGCCAAAAUUGAAACAAUAUGCUUAGCAAGCAUAAAUUUUGCACAAAAUAUCAUAAAGCGUGAAAAGUUAUGUUAGAUACUAAUGGGCCAUAAAAAUAUCACCUAAGAAUCUUGGAGCAAUCACCCACAAUGACGAGAAGCAAGAACAAACAGAAGAAGCAGAUCAAGAGCUUAACAACGAUAUACACUACAUGUUGGAGGAAAAAAGCAUGCAAUAACUUGGCUUGAAGAUGCGUGGACUGCUGGGAAGAUACGUCCAUGCCCUAAAUUUGGCUUUCAUUUCUACUCUCCACUUUUCAUAGAAUAUAUGGAUGAGAUUAGCUUGUUUUGUUGCAUAGUUAUAAAAAUAGUAGCAUCCCAAAAUCGUUAGGCAUGCAAAAUCAAAACAGACAUAACACCGGAUUGUCCCCAGGUAGUUGAUUUGACGAUGAACCUUCGCUUCCACCAUUUUUUCUGCUAAAUAAUCUUUGAUUAACCCUCAUUUCUAGGCUCAUAGCCCUUGCCUGCAUUUUUUCUGUUAUCCUCUGAGAAUGAAAACACUAUUCUAACUCUCACAUUCAAUUCUAUGAGCAAAGCAAAAAGGAAACAAAAUUUUGCAUUUAUCCCAACUCCUUUAAGCUUGUAAAUCAUUGAAAAUUUGUGUCAACAAAUCUAGCCUUAAUUCUACCGAAACAAAAACCAUGGAAUUCAACAAAAAUAGAAUAAAAAAGGGAGAACAUGAUAGAGAGUUUUGGUUUAAAAUAAUUUAAUCAAUAGACAAAUGAAUGGCAGAUCUUCUUCAAUUAAUGAGCAAGAAAGAAAGCACAAAGCUGUAUUUUGUUGAAAUUGAACACCAUCAAAAUCCAUGUAUGACACAGCAAAUGGCCUUUUUUGAUGAGUUGGACGCUGAAAUAUUCACUCUAAUAGAUUAGUUCAGGACCAAACCUAGAUAUCUUCUGCUCACAAUUUUCUUUUCAUUUUUCCUAAGUUCAGAUUUCUUCAAUUUUUGUGCUGGUUCCUGAAUUGCUCUCUCUGUUUGAUCUCUUAUUGGUUGUUUUAGAUGUGCCAAUUUGAAAUGUCAAUACUGCUUAGUUGACAGUAAUGACACUUAGACCAAGGAUUUAAGUGCCGUGGCACGGGGUUGUGUCGUAAACUUGCCGACACGGUACGGCAUGGCACGUGCCGAGUAGUGCCGAUGCGUGCCGGUCAAAAAAAUUCUUGUGUGCCGACACAUAAUAGCAUGAAAUAUUUAUUUUCUUUAGCAACAAAAUAUUCUAACUAUUUAAUAUUUCUUUUUAUCACAUCUUUUGAACUUUAUUGAGAAAAUUACGUACUAAUUUAAAGAAUAGAGGGUUUUAAGCUGUGCCAUCGGCAUGGGGUCUGUAUCGUGUCGGUAUCUUGUUGGCACGGUACGGCACGAUGGAUACGGCUCGUGCCGACUGGCACUUAAAACCUUGACUUAGACUACACUCGAGUAAAUAUCAAAUGCAAAUCGAAGAACCAAAUCUUCCCUUAGUGGUACAGGUCACUUAUUUCAGAAAGGGGAACAAAUUGUUCGCCAAAUCUCUCCAAAUACAUCUCAUGAAGAAAUGUUUUGUUAUUUGGAAAUUAUAUUAGCAUCCAGCCCUACUUAGAACCGGUCAAUAUUCGCGAUUAGUGCCAAAAGAGGAAAGUGGCGAUAACAAUUAGACGAAAGAGGUUCUCAUAUUCCGAUCAUUUUUGAAUCAUGAAAUACACAAGGCCCUAAGAUAUGUAAAAUAUAAAGAAUUUUUGUCAGCAAUAGUAGAACAACUGGAAAAAUUAUUGGUGAUAUAGCAAACCCUCUCUGAAAGUAAAUGUUUCAACCGCAUAAUUUUUCCGAGUCAGAGCACAAGAAGAGUUGACCAUGGUAUGGACAACAAUUCUAGCAAUUUGAGUCGAGAAUAUAUUCUAAAUAAACUGAGGUCACUAUAUCAUUUAAAGGCAACAAAAGAAAACAGCACAAACCAGCAUAGUUCUAAAGGAAUUGCAAAACAGAAUCUGAUCUUUCCAUGCUUUCCAUCCUUUCUCACUAUAAAUACACAGUGAAGCGAUGAACCAGUACAAGCCAAUCAAAUAACCUAAAAUAGCAGAAGAGAAGUCUUACAUGGUGAUAAGAGUUUAUCUUUGAUAGCCAAGGAUGACUUGCCUGCAACCUCUUUGAAGCUUUUGCCAACUAAGGCUACAUGUGGUUCCAUAGGCAGUCUCCUUGGCUAGCCUAAGUGGCUCUUAUCCUUCCAUGCUAGACUGUAAUCUCUUCUAUAUAGUCAAAAUUGGUAAGUUCCAAAUAAAUAGGCCAAAGAGAUCCUUUUAUAGUAAGAACACUUAUUAUAACAAUAUUUCCAAAGAAUUUUUAAAGAAUAGAUUUUUGUAGAGUACUUCAAGAUUGAUGCCAACAAUUUUAAAUAGGCCUGCAUAAAAUGAUCACCUUUUUUUUUUUUUUUAAAUUCUGUGAUAUUCUCAGGAUUCUCGUGCUUGGUGGCAUGUUUGAUUUGUACCUGAUGGGUUGAUUUAGGACAACACUUUUUUCCUUCUCAUGUCACGGAGCAAAAGAAAAGUAUUUUAUGGAUGGUAUCCUAUAUAUGACUUACUAUUUCUUUAAUAGUUCAAGUUAUGGUGGCCAAUCGGGUUUUAGCUGUAAGAUGGUUUUUGCGUAUUAAUCAAAUGCAAGGAAAGCAAUACAGCAUUAAUAGGAAAUAUAAUUCGAAGGAUGAUUACAUAAAUUGCUUCUAUCGGCAAUUAUCCAUGAAGAAGGUCCUCACCUUCAUCCUCAGGCACAUCCAUUUUGUAGUGGAGAUAUGCCUAGCAAUUUCUCACUAAAUGGACAACCACUUGCCAGAUUCUACGAAAUAGGGAGUUACUCAAACUAUCCACACCUUUAUUUUUCUAUCAGGCCUUGAAAGCCAAAGUUUUAGACAGGAUAUCAGUGCUUGUUUUGAACUUUCAUAAAGCACAAGUUAAUACAAGCUUCUGCAACUUUUUGCAAUAAGUUGUAUCAAAAGUAUAUUACGUAUACUGAUGUUAGCUCAUUAAUAUAUUCAAGAGAAUGUCAAAUAUUCAAUACAAAAAAGAUCAUCAAUAUAAGCCAUUGGCAAUUGAGUAACUAUUUCUAAAAAGCAAGAUUAGACAUCUCAAGAUAGUAAUGUAUUGUUUCGAACAAUUUUUUGACUGUCAGCUUUAAAGAGGAUGGGGCAUAAUAUAACUCAUCAUUUUAUUCUCUUUUCAAUAAAGGCAAAGGACGAGAUCUGCAUAGCCUUCAGCUUGAACAUAAAACAAGGAUUCCUGAGAGAUUUGUUGGCUAUUUAUUAUUGGCUAAAAUAGGUCCACUUUCUGCUCCAUGACAAUAGGCCCAAAAGACUAAUAAAUGAGUAGGGUGAGCCCAAAAAGUUGAGUGGGGAUGCAAUCCAUAAUAGACCUAACAACAAGAGACCCAAAAAUAAAUCUAACGUUCAGGUGGGUUAAGUCAGGUCGAAGCCCAUGAGCUCUGUAGCUGAGCCCUUUAGUCUGAUGGGUGCGCCCUUCCUAUCAACAUAUGCUUUUGGGACAACCAGUUAACGCUUACAAUCCACAAGAUUUACAGAAAACAAAAUAACAGAAACAAAUGAUAAUGGGCAGGUUGCAUGAAACAUGCCUCUUUACGUGCUCAUAUCUAAACAGAGGAUACAGAUUACUAUGGCUAUGUAUGGUUAUGGUUGAUGAUGUUCUGAACACAUCAAAGGGCACAAAAAAUCUGGAACAGAACACACAUUGAAUUCAGUUCAGAAGAGAAGCAUACGCCCCAAAUAAAUAAAAAGAAGGAAGCAUCUGCAUCACCUUCAAUUGUAUUUGUUGCUUCAAUUCUAUGCAAUAAGCUUACUCUGUGGAGUUUUUUCCAUAAUAAAAUUUAAAACAAAAAAAACCAAUUUGUUCAGCUAUUGUUUGAUGGAAAAUGAACAAAAAACACUAUCUAACUUAAACAGAUAGUAAAACCGAAAAAAAGAUAAUAGAACCAAUCGCACAAAACAAGAAACCAUGAACAUAUACAAUAGAAGCAACGGUGUAAAACCAAUAAACCUAAAAAUAUAUAUUGUACAGAGGGUUAGAAAAGCUAAACACUUAACAAAUGAAGCAAUGAUUGAAGCAAUGAUCGAGAAGUAGUACACAUUAUACCCUGAAAAGACUUCCCAGUAUCCUUCAUACUAAAUUAUCUACCAAAAUUGUAAUUCAGUAAAAAGAUUAGAAAAUAUAGAUUAAUAACGAGCAAGGUUGAUUGAUUAAAGGGCAUGAGCAGUGCAUAUUGAUUGAAAUUCGAAUUGUAGUGCAGAAUUAUCCAUCCAAAGAGCAGCAUCCAAUCGGCCAGAUCAGAUUAUAUACUAUUUGACAAAUUAGAUAACAAAAAAGAACAAAUAAUCCACAACAAAAGGAAAUUUUGGAAUCUUCAAGAAAAAAAAGCUUACAACUUGUUCCCUUCAAAUCACGCAUUAGCAUAUCUACACCUUGAAACACAAUUUGACAUUCUUUUUUCAAGUUUUCAGUUAAGAUUCUAUUCUCCCACUCACUUUGAUAUUCUCGCAAAUGGCUCAUCCUAUACUUUUUUAAUAUCACGCAAAAUUCUUGAUAAAUUUGCUGCAAAGUCAAACCCGCGAACCCACAAAGGAAAUAACCAGAAUGUUCAAGUGACUCAUACUACAUAUUGAUGUUGAUGGAUGGUGUGGAAUUCACAAAGACUAAAAGCGAACCUUAAAAGCAGCCGUAAUCGUUUUCUAGCCAUCUUGCACUGAAUGUUCUUAUAUUCUAUUACGAUUGCAGCACCUCACUCUACAAAUGGUCAAGAAAGAUUCUGAUACCAAAAGCCGAAGAAUAGAUUACCGUCCUUGAAAAUUAUGUAACCACUGCGUUUCUAGCGUUUGUAGUCAAAGACUCAAAAACAACUGCUGCAGAAAAUAAAACAAGAUAUACAACACUGAAGCUCUCUCUCAGUGUCCAUACGCAAAAGCCCAUUAAAAAAGGCAUAAGAGGGAUAUAUUCUUAAGUGGUGGCAAUUUGAGCUUACAAAAAGUUAUAGACAAGGAGAUUUCUUUUUGCCUCUCUGGAUCUAACGGAAAGACAUAUAUUGAUCUCUUGUCUUGGAAAUACUAUAAAUAGAUGCCGAGGCAAGCAUUACGAACCAACCGAGUGGAGCAAGUCGAGCGUAGCUGCAGAAGAGAAGUCUUACAUGGCGACGAGAGUCUAUCUUUGAUAGCCAAGGAUGACUUGCCUGUAACCUCUUCGGACGUUUCUUUACAAUCGAAAUACUCUAAAAAAAAGCACCUUAUGGUUUACACAGGCAGUCUCCUUGGCUAGUCUCAGUGGCUCUAAUCCUCCCAUGCUAGACUACAUUGAUCUCUUCUUUUAUCAUCAAACAAGAUUCUUCAUGAUGCUUCAAAAGUUUUAUAUCAGUAUAUAUCCCCGAACUUCCAAACACAGCGCAAUUUCAAAAAAACCAGGUUUUUCCGGUCGUAAAAUCACCUAAAAUACUUCUCGUAUACGCAUAUGCUUAAUUAGAGGUUAAAGAGGUCACUUUGCAGGGAAAAUCACAAGAUGAGAUGGUUCUAAGGUAAACAAUCUAAAUCUAGGCUGCAAAAUUGAUUGCUUAACAAACUCAAAUCUUCUACCUAAUGAUUUCUCAUAUAAAGUUGAAUGCAGUUUUUCAAUUCUCACCCCUCACAUGGGAAUGGUGAAUGGUGGCCCUUCUUUUGAAAACCCUAAAAACCCCAAAUUGGACAACCCAAAUCUUUACCGACUUAGACAUGCUGAGAUAUUGAGCACUAUCCUUGUCUACUAUUUACCAAGCUAGAUUUUCUCCUAAUUCUUUCUCCUUUCGAGUAGUGUCUGAGAUUCCUGGUUAAAUAUCGCUCAAUGUGCCUUUGUUAUGUAGCAUGCAGAUUACAAGAUGAGGAAACAGAGUUAGAGAUCUUACGAGCUGAUGAAGAGAGAGAGAGAUGAGUGAGAUCCUGAAGCUUAAGCUCCUCCUGGAUUGGGCCAAGCGAUCGAAGCCGAAUACAGAUCCUUCACUAUUUCUAAUUUUUCUUUUUCCCCUGUUGUUUUUUUUUUUUUUUUUUUUUUUUUUUUUUUUUUUUUGGUGUUGUGGUGUGUAGUAAAAAAUGUAUGGAAACCACUCAACGGAAGUAUCCUGUGCCGCUUACAUCAUAUCAUUAAUAUUCAGUUACGGAUCGUUACUUGAGCAAGCGACAAACGGCUUGAUGGUUGAUACUCGAGACCCAAGUUCGAAUUCUAGUUGAUUCACAUUUUCAACUAAGUUUAUUUCUAAAUAAAAUAAACGAAGCGAGUAACGUGCUACAUAUCUCUCAAAAAAAAAAAAUCAGUUAGUUAUAUCUUAUUUUUAUCUAUUUGUCUAAGCAAUUUAUGAUCGGAUCUACUUGUCUAAGCAAUUUAGUGUGAGAAACUUAGUGUAGAGUCAAAAGAUUAGUGUAGAGUCAAAAGAUUACUUGUCUAAGCAAUUUAUUAUCGGAUCUACUUGUCUAUCGGAUCUACUUGUCUAAACAAUUAGUGUAGAGUCAAAAGAUUAAAAAUUUGAAUCUACAUUGUCUCAGCAAUUUAGUGUGAGAAACUAAAUAACUCUUGUGAGCAUGUGGGACUAAUCAUGGAAAGAGUGAUAAUAAUAGAACAUAAUCAAUUGGUGCAUCCAAUAGAGUCGAAUCCGAGUGAUAUGGGUUAGGCAUAUGGAUUUUUUUGGUAAGUGGAUUCGCAAUGACUAGUAAAGGAUGGCAGUAAGAGAGAGAGAGAGAAAAGAAAACGAGUUUAGGAGUAAAUUCGAAACAGAUAAACAGAUAAAUUUUAUUUAUUUUUAAAAAUACAUACUAUUUUUUUUCAAUAAUCAUGAUGGAAUGGUUGAAUUUAAAAAAAAAAAAACGUUCUAAUUGGUUGAAAACGUCAUAUCAGUAAUAUAAUUGGUACUUUGUAAACUUUUUAGUUCCCGCCUCGAUUCGCCCCGCACACAAUGAUGAGUGAGAAUUGAAAAUUAAAAACUAAAAUUUAUCUAUUUCGAAUCUAUCCAAAUCCGAUAAUAAAUAAAGCGGAAGCUGGGAGACUCUUCCUAUCCCGGAUCCAUCGCGUUUGCAUCCCUAGACCCCUCAGAGCGUUUUCUUUUCUCUCUCUCUCUUUCACUGUCACCCUUAACUAGUCAUUGCCAAUCCACUUAUUUAAAAUCCGUACGCCUAACACAUAUCACUCGGAUUCAACUCUAUUGGAUGCGCCAAUUUAUUACGUUCUUCUUCUUUUUUUUUUUGAGAAAAAGGUAGCACGCUACCCGCUUCAUUCAUUGAAAGUAUGAACUAGGCUACAUGGGUGAGGCAACAUGGGCCUCGAGAGAGCGGAAAAAAAGAAAGAAAAAAAAGAAGAAAGGAGCGGGUGGGGAGGGGGGCGGCGGUUUAGGGAGGGGUUUGUUUUGCUGGAAUAAGAUAAUCCCACUCCGACUAUAGCUGUUUAAGCUUGUGUACUACUAACAUAGGAUUCGGCUAAAUAUUUCUAAAGAUCAUAUCAUUUCUUGCCUUCCAAAUAGACCACCAGCAUCCUACCAAUUCGGAUAAGCUGCUUCUCGUCUUAUGGCAUCCCUUCCUAUACAUCCACGAUACCAAAACUAGGAUUACAUCGUUUCCCAGGUCCCUCGCCUGUACGCCGUCCACUCCCGUCGCGAUGAUAAACUUGCUGAACACACACCGCGUGAACAGGUGGUCCACUGAUUCCUCUUCCGCUCCGCAAAACACGCAAUCUAAGUUUCCCACCCACCCACGCUUCACGAGUAAAUCGGUUGUAUGGAGCCUCUUCUUGAGAACGAGCCAACAGAAUACUUUUACUUUAAAAGGAAUAUGGAGUCUCCAAAUCCUGCAUAUAGAAGGGGCCCUCAUUCCCCCGUUAGAUAACGCUAAAUAGGUCGUAUUUACCGAGAAAAGUCCGUUAGGGCUCCAAUGCCAAUAUAACUGGCCUGACCUUUGUUCAACUGUGAAGUAGGAUAUCCUUUCCUUGAAUUCUACAAUGUUAUCGUUAAUUCCAACAAAAAUUUCGGGCUCCGCACCCAGAAUCCUAUGCCAGUUCCAACCGUCCCUCGUGAAGCAAUCCCUGACUUUAAGUUUUUUUCACUCGGACAUCUUAUAGACCUCCGGGAAUGCUUGGUCUAGCGUGGUCUCCCCACACCAGCGAUCUAGCCAAAAAUCAAUAGAGUUCCCAUUGCUUAGUUUAAAGAUGGCUCCCCAUUUGAAGAUGACGCUAAGGCUAAGGACUCCUUUCCACCGGUGAGAGUGUGGCCUAAAAGAUUUGCCUUCCAUCAAGGUCUCCUCCUUUGGUAGUAUAGGCCCCGGAUUACUCUAUUCCACUGCAAUUGGGGAGCCGUGUGGAACUUCCACCACCAUUUAGUUAGUAGGGCAUGGUUCAUGGUCAUUACAUCCAGGAUGCCUAGGCCCCCUUCUCUCUUGCUCUUACAAACGUUCUUCCAAGCUAUCAGACAUCCUUUGCCAGGAGAGUUACGUCCCCCGUUCCAAAAAAAGUCUCGACGGAGAGCUUCGAUACGCUUUAUCACCCAUUUAGGUGCCUUGAACACCGAAAGAAAAUAGAGUGGGAAGUUUGUUAGAAUAGCGUUUGCUAGGAUAAGUCUACCCCCCCUAGAGAGUAGUUUGGCCUGCCAACCAUCGAUCUUGCACUGAACUUUCUGAAUGAUGCCCCUCCAGUCCUCCUUAGAGGGGGGUUUGGGAGGGAGAGGCAAGCCCAGAUAUUUGGUCGGGAAGGAGCCAACGCGGCACUCGAGUAAAUUUGCUAGAGUACUCGCUUUUCCUUCUAUAUGUCCAAGGUAGUACAAUUUUAUUAUCACUCUUUCUAUGAUCAGUCCCACAUGCUCACAAGAGUUAUUAAGUUUCUCACACUAAAUUGCUUAGACAAGUAGAUCCAAAUUUUUAAUCUUUUGACUCUACACUAAUUGUUAGGAGGUUCUAAUUUAACCAAACCCACAUGGCCCAUGAAUAUUAUGUUUUUAUUGCAAUCCAUCCAACUCAAAAUCUUAAACAUCUAGCAAUAUGAAUAGGAAUUUCAAUGGGUUGGAUUCAAGGGGAAUUUUUUAAAACCCAAACUCGAUCAAAAUUUCGAAACCCGAAUUUGAGACCUGAACCCGAAAUUCUCGUUUUGUUAGAUGAUUCAUGAUUCAAAAAUGAAAAAUUACACGAAAGAUACAAUCAUACAAUGAACUCCGCUCUCUUGCUCUAUCUUUAAGAAGAGUAUGUAUAUUCUGCAUGAGGGAGGUAAUGAAAGAAUCUACAUCUAAACGAGUAGCAAUUUGAAGGUACACAACGAAAGAAUUAAUAGCUAUGAACAACAAGAAUUUGUGUGGCUCCCUUUUUUGUCUAGGGCAUUUAUAUAUAUGGUUUAUAUUCUCUUUCAUAUAGAUGUUGAGACAAGCAAUUCAAAGAUAAGUCUUGGGGGAAAAAGAAGAGAAAUAUUACACCGGCAUAAGAGUCUUAUAUCUUAGGUAGCGAAGAAUGAGUCAUCAGUGGCCUCUCUUUUUGAAGACUUAGAUUAACUCUGAAACUCCAUGUGAUUUUUAUGCGCAAUCUCUUUGGCUACUUUAAGAGCAUGUUUGGUUGAAAAUGAGAAUCGAAAUCGGAAUAGAAAAAUAAAAUAGUGACUUUAGUUGGUUUACAAUAGUAUUUGAAAUCAGAAUCAAUUUAUUAUUAUUAUUUGGUUAAGAAAAUUUUAGUCUACUAUAUAUAUUCGUAAUCAAAUUUUAAACUCAUAUUAAUUGACACUCAUAAUUUAUGUUCAAAGUCAAAAUAUCAAAUUUCAAAAUAUAUUGAAAUUAAAAUUAAAAUUAAAAUUUUAAAUUAAUAAAAUUUGAAAUUAUAUUAUAAAGUUCAAUUGUAAUUUAAUCUAAAUUUAAAUUUAUAUGUAUAUUUGAAUUUAAACAAGUAUUAAUUAUUGGGAAAAAAAAGAGCUCUUUACUCAAUCCCUCCCCAAAUCAAAAUUGACUCUCACCUGUAUUUUGUGAGUCAUUUCGAAAGGAUCCGAUUCCUCCGGAAUAGAAAUCGGAAUGCUAAUUAAUUCCGCAAAUCGAAUAUCAAUAUGUGAAUGGCUCAUUCUGAUUCCUAUUUCAAGCCUCAAUUCCUUUCAACCAAACACGGCUCUUAUCCAUCAUGCAUGCUAGUCUUAGAUCCCUUUAAUAAAAGACGAAGGAUUUUCACAUUACUGGAGAAUACAACUAUGAAUAAGUAGAGAUAUUCAUACUAUUAUUCAUAGUUGUAAUUGUAGUUCUUGAAAUAAUGUCCAAGAUCAGUCCUAAGGUGCAAUUACCAAUAUUAGAAACUUGCAUGACUGUACUAUCAUCUUAUAUAUGGCGCUGAGACUAUUUUUAGAUUAUUAGUUUUUCGUUGAUAAAUCAGUAUUUUGCUAGUAACAAAUUGUUAAUACUAGACCUACACCUCUCGAUUUCGAGUGGUCAUAACUUUAAAUCUUAUAUAUUCAAGGUUAAUGAACGAUACAGAUCAAUCUCUACCUAUUUCAUAAACGUUUUAAGCCGUGCAUGAUAUAUAUUCAUAAGUCUCACUACAAAACACCUUCCAUUAUUGCGCCUAUGAUGCUUGAUCAUCAUGCCUUACAAACAUUGCACGCAAGAAAUCAAACUUUCCAUCUUUUAAUAAAUAGUAAGAUACCUACGAACUGUACAAACAACAGGACUCUCUUUAUCAUCUCUCUCUCUCUCUCUCUCUCUCCCUCUCUCUCUCUCUCUCUCUCUUUCGCUUCAUUACUAUGGGCUCACCGAACGCACUAAACUUGAUUAAAGUUGUCCUUCAUUUCCCUGUGCAACGCCAUUUAGUAAACUCACGUGGUUACUGCGUUAUUAUAUAUUCACGUUCUUUCCGUGGCGCAGGACGAGUUAUCCCAUGAUUUAACAGGAGACCAAUAGGCCAUCAUGCGGUACGGACUACGGAGCAUUCAAUUGCACCACAUCUGAAGUUCACGUGCCGCAUCCCAUCAUAGCCGUCCACUCCGCAUCUAACGGCGAAGCGAGCGCCGUACCGUUCGCUCCUACCGUCGUCUUGUAGCCUGCUUGGUUGGUGGUCAUGUCCUUUUUCGUAUCGUAGUCUCCAUUGUAGUACUAUCGUAUUUUAUAUAUAUAUAUAUAUAUAUAUAUAUAUAUAGUUGGACUGGACUGCUAUUAAUAGCAAAAUUUUAUUAUUGCUACUAAUUUUUUAGCCUUUGGAUCAACUCUUUUCAUUAUUUCUAAUCAUUGAAUUAAAUACUAUAACCCAGUGGAGACCACUCAACCCUAGGCGGACCACUCAACUCUAACCGACUAAUAUCAUCAUGACCCUACAAUUUUUCAUCCAAGGGUUAAAGACUUGAUAGCAAAAAAAACAUUUUACUAUUAAUAGUAUUCCAGCCUAAUUAUAUAUAUAUAUAUAUAUAUAUAGUUCGGUUAUGGUGCUUGUAAAAGCACCAAGUAUUUGGUGCUUGUAAAUUUUUUACCGUUAGAUCUACUCCUCUGAUCAUUUUUAACCGUUAAAUUAUACUAUUUAACCAACCACCCACUCAACCUUAGGGGACCCACAUCAUCCUAACCGUACAUCUCUUAAUCCAACGGCUAAAAAUUUACAAGCACCAAUAACUUAGUACUUUUAAAAGCAUAAGAACUCAAUUCUAUAUACAAAGUUCGGUUAUGGUGUUUGUAAAAGCACCAAGUAUUUGGUGCUUGUAAAUUUUGUACCGUUAGAUCUACUCUUCUGAUCAUUUUUAACCGUUAGAUUAUACUAUUCACUAUCAAAAAAUUUUUAAAAAAAUUUAAUUUUUAAUAUCUGAUCUGUCAAUGCAUUUGAUUUGAAUCGAUCAAUAAAUUUUUAAUUUUUAAAUUUGAAUCCAUUAUUUAUUUUUACAGACUUAAUUCGUAUAUUUUAUACUAAAAUAAAUAAAUAAAUAUUUAUUAUUUUAAAUUGAAUAAAUUAAGAUUUGAUAGUCAUUUAAAAUAGUUUAUAAUUUAGAUAACUUUUGUAUACAUUUACCCUGAAUUUUUAAAAUUUACAGAAUAAAUUUAACGCAUAUUGUCUUUAUUCUCCAUGGAAGAAGACACCUGAACUUUAAUUUUUUUUUUUUUAUUACGACCUACUCAAUUUCUAAUUUUUUUACUUCAAAUUUAUAUAUUUAAUUAAGUUACAAAUUUUAUUAAUUUUAAUAAUUUUACUGGCUAUUAACUAUUGAAUAGUUUAACUUUAUUUGAUAAAAAUUAAUUAAAGUAAUUAAAUGAUAAAAUUACGUAUAAAUUUGAUAGAAUUUUUGUUUUUUUUACUAAUUAAAUCACCUAUUAUUCGAAAAUCAAAGAGUUAAGAGCAGUCUAAAAACCAAGAAAAAUAAAAGUUUAAGGGGUUGAUUUCAAUUCAUUCUAUAGUUGAGGGGGGCUUCUAUAUUAUUUAGGGUCUCCCCUCACAUGAAAUUUUAGAAUGUAAUGGCUAUAUUGGUUACGUGGCGUAACAAAUUAAUCAAAUAUGUUUUUUAGAAAUAUAUGUCCCAUCAUAAUUGUAAAAUAAUAAGGCCAAUUUGCAUAAAAAAUCCACUUAUUUUGAGCUUUUGCAAAAUCGGGCUACCUUUUUCGUUUUUGGAGAUUCGGUCCGCUUUUUCAGCAAACUGACCAAAAUACCCUUAUUACUUUUUCUCUUUCCUCUUUCUCUCUCCUCUUCGUUCUCUCGUUCUUUUUUUUUUUCCGCCGGGAAAAAAAAGCGAAGGCCAGACGGAGCAAUUUUUUCUUCUUUUUUUUUUCCCCUUUUUUUUUCUUCUUCUUCUUCCUCCUGCUGGAGCACCUUUUUUUUUUUUCCCUCUUCUUCUUCUUCUUCUUCUUCUUCUUCUUCCUGUAAGAGCACGGGGCGCGCCACGGAGACUUCCGGCCUCGCCAAGCGGCGUCCACCCGGCGGCGUUUUGCAGGGAGGGGUCGGCACCGGCGACCGUGAGCGCCCCGGCAAGAGUGGGGGCGCGCGGGAGGCGGGCGGCGAGGUGGAGCGGGGUGUCGCAGCCGAGGACGUCGCGCCUGUCGAGGGCAGCGGUCACGCGCGCCGCCCGGCGCUCCGCUCGUGCGGCGUCGGCCGCCGUCGCGAUCUCCGACGGCUGCUUCUUCUUUUUCGUAAUGGUGUAAUAGUGCACGCGGGCCGGUGCACGCAGCGGCGGCGGGCGGGCACGCGGGCGCGCUGCGGCUGCUUCUUCUUCGUCAUAACUCAAUGCUCUUUCUUCUUCGGACAAAGUCAAUAUCAGCAAUUGAAGCAGAUACUGUGCCUAAAUUAUGUAGACAUGUUAAACCAAAUAGUUUGAGAUGAAUAUGAAGAACAUAGCAAAGCUAGUGCACUACUGACCUCCACCGAAGUAUGUUUUUGUUAACAACCUGGCUGCCUCUGUCAAAGAACAAUAAUAUAUUAAAAAGAGCACAAGAUAAUACAUUCCACUCUAUAGAAAGCAGAUAGCUAAACGACCUUUGCUAAAACUUCGAAAAAAAAAAUACAAACGUUUUGCCCACAUAACAAGACCAUUACACCAUUAAUAGUGUAAUGGUGUAAUUACACCAUUAAUGGUGCAAUGGUUACACCAUUAAUGGUGUAAUGGUGCACCAUUACAUUAUUAAUGGUGAAAUUACACCAUUACAUGGUGUAAUUACACCAUUAAAGGUGCACGCGGCCCGCGGAGCGGAGCCGUGGGUGGAGCUUCGCCAGAAGGAGAGAGAGAGAGAAUUUACAAAAUGCGCUUUCCCUGCCGUUUCCUCCUCCUCCUCUUCUUCUUCUUCUUCUUCUUCUUCUUCGUCGUCGUCCUCGGCGGCGGCGCGGCGGAGGAGGGGUCGCCGGCGGCAGCGUAGGUGGCGGCGCUUCUGGCGGUGAGGUCGGCGCUCGCGGACCCGUCGGGCGCGCUCGCGUCGUGGUCCAACGCCAGCUCGUCGGAGCCCUGGCGUCGUGGCACGGGGUGUCCUGCUCUCCCGCGCGGCUCCACCCUCUGGCGGAGCUCCACCCACGGAGCUCCACCUGGCGGAGCUCCACCCUGGCAGAGCUCUCUCUCUCUCUCUCCCUCCCUCUGGCGGAGCUCCUAAAAUGAAAUAAAUUAUGUAAAUUAAGUACGCGCUUACAUGAAAUAAAUUAUGUAAUUAUUUUAUAAAAAAAUCCACUACGUGCUUACAUGAAAGUGUGUUUACAUAAUUUAUUUCAUUUUAGGAUUUGGAUUUUUUAAUUUUUUUUGUAGUUGGAUUUCCGUAGGCUUACUCUACUGUUGGCACACCUGACUAUAUUGCUCUAGAAGUUUUACUGAAGAACGGUUAUAGGAUGGAAUGUGAUUGGUAAGCUAUAUAUCUAGCCCGCAAGGUGUUCGACAAAAUGCCCGUGAGGGACCUGCUCGCGUGGACUGCGCUCGUCCACGGUCGUCCACGGCCUCUUGGGCCUGCGGGGUGAACGCGGGGUCGGUGAGGCGCGCGUACGCGAUGAGGAGAGCCGGGGCGGCGGCAGGGCCGGUGCAGCGGCGGAGCAGGAGGAGGUGGGCGUAGAGGGGGAGGGCGUGGUGGGGCGCGGCAGAGCCGGUGAGGGCGAGGAGGACGGAGGUGUAGGAGGUGAGAUCAGGGCGGGGCAUGCGGAGGAGGCGGGCCUCGGGCCAGGCAGGAGGCGGCAGCGGAAGAAGAAGAGAAAGAGAAAAAGAAAAGGAAAACAAAUAAUGUAAAAUUUUUUUAAAUAGUGCAACUGUGGUCUAAAUAGUGUAAAAUUUAUUCCAAAAGAGUGUAAUUUUUAUAUGUAAUAGUGCAGUUUUUAAUAAAACAGUGCAAUUUUUUAAAAAAACAGUGUAAUCUCAAGAGGCCGUGGACGACCGUGGACGAGCGCGGUCCAUGUGAGCAGGUCCCUCACGGGCAUUUUGUCGAACACCUUGCGGGCUAGAUAUAAGGCUUACCAAUCACAUUCCAUUUCAUAACUGUUCUUCAGUAAAACUUCUGGAGCAAUAUAGUCAGGUGUGCCAACAGUAGAGUAAGCCUACGGAAAUCCAACUACAAAAAAAAUAAAAAAAUUCAAAUCCUAAAAUGAAAUAAAUUAUGUAAACACACUUUCAUGUAAGCACGUAGUGCAUUUUUUUUUAAAAUAAUUACAUAAUUUAUUUCAUGUAAGCGCGUACUUAAUUUACAUAGUUUAUUUCAUUUUAGGAGCUCCGCCAGAGGGAGAGAGAGAGAGAGAGCUCUGCCAGGGUGGAGCUCCACCAGGUGGAGCUCCGUGAGUGGAGCUCCGCCAGAGGGUGGAGCCGCGCGAGGGAGCAGGACACCCCGCGCCACGACGCGUAGGGCUUCGACGAGUUGGCGUUGGACCACGACGCGAGCGCGCCCGACGGGUCCGCGAGCGCCGACCUCACCGCCAGAAGCGCCGCCACCUACGCUGCCGCCGGCGACCCCUCCUCCGCCGCGCCGCCGCCGAGGACGACGACGAAGAAGAAGAAGAAGAAGAAGAAGAAGAGGAGGAGGAGGAGGAAACGGCAGGGGAAGCGCAUUUUGUAAAUUCUCUCUCUCUCCCUCUGGGGAAGCUCCACCCGCAGCUCUGCUCCGCGGGCCGCGUGCACCUUUAAUGGUGUAAUUACACCAUUACACCAUUAAUGGUGUAAUGGUGUAAUUUCACCAUUAAUGGUGUAAUGGUGCACCAUUACACCAUUAAUGGUGUAACCAUUGCACCAUUAAUGGUGUAAUUACACCAUUACACCAUUAAUGGUGUAAUGGUCUUGUUAUGUGGGCAAAACGUUUGUAUUUUUUUUUUUCGAAGUUUUAGCAAAGGUCGUUUAGCUAUCUGCUUUCUAUAGAGUGGAAUGUAUUAUCUUGUUCUCUUUUUAAUAUAUUAUUGUUCUUUGACAGAGGCAGCCAGGUUGUUAACAAAAACAUACUUCGGUGGAGGUCAGUAGUGCACUAGCUUUGCUAUGUUCUUCAUAUUCAUCUCAAACUAUUUGGUUUAACAUGUCUACAUAAUUUAGGCACAGUAUCUGCUUCAAUUGCUGAUAUUGACUUUGUCCGAAGAAGAAAGAGCAUUGAGUUACGACGAAGAAGAAGCAGCCGCAGCGCGCCCGCGUGCCCGCCCGCCGUCGCUGCGUGCACCGGCCCGCGUGCACCAUUACACCAUUACGAAGAAGAAGAAGCAGCCGUCGGAGAUCGCGACGGCGGCCGACGCCGCCCGAGCGGAGCGCCGGGCGGCGCGCGUGACCGCCGCCCUCGACAGGCGCGACGUCCUCGGCUGCGACACCCCGCUCCACCUCGCCGCCCGCCUCCCGCGCGCCCCCACCCUUGCCGGGGCGCUCACGGUCGCCGGUGCCGACCCCUCCCUGCAAAACGCCGCCGGGUGGACGCCGCUUGGCGAGGCCGGAAGUCUCCGUGGCGCGCCCCGUGCUCUUACAGGAAGAAGAAGAAGAAGAAGAAGAAGAAGAAGAGGGAAAAAAAAAAGGUGCUCCAGCAGGAGGAAGAAGAAGAAGAAAAAGAAAAAGAGAAGAAAAAAUUGCUCCGCCUGGCCUUCGCUUUUUUUUCCGGCGGAAAAAAAAAAAAGAACGAGAGAACGAAGAGGAGAGAGAAAGAGGAAAGAGAAAAAGUAAUAAGGGUAUUUUGGUCAGUUUGCUGAAAAAGCGGACCGAAUCUGCAAAAACGAAAAAGGUGGUCUGAUUUUGCAAAAGUCCAAAAUAAAUAAAUUUUUUAUGCAAAUUGGCCAAAUAAUAAUUUUAUUAUACUUUUAUUUGAAAAAAAAAAUGUGGUUGGCUUGCUAUUGAUGAUGCAGUGUAAGUGUGAAGUGUAGAAUUCCACCUCUCUCACUCGUUCCUGCGCCGUGGGAGACACGCUACAGGAAAACAGUGGGACCCACCAAAUCCAAUCAAAUCCCUUCGACAGUGAUCUUCUCCUGAAAAUAUGUGCUGAUCAAUGUAACGCCUACAAACACGUUUUUUUUUUCUUUUUUUUUUACUGACAUGUGGGCCCGGCUCCAAGUCACAUGAGAAGUUGUUGCAACAAAUAGGUUUUUCUUUUGUUUUUGGGUAAAUUUCAAAUGUUAAUAAUGUGGUUUUGUAUUUUUUUUAUUUUAGUAAUAUGUAAUUUAAAGUGUAUUAAUUUAAUAUUAUAUAAUUUUUUUAACUUUUCAUUAAACUAUUAUAUAUAAAAAGCUUCAGAUAAUGCACCUAUAAUUUAUGAAAUAUUCACUUUACUACUCUUUAGUUUUAACUUUGUUGCUACCUUAACAAAAAAAAAUAAUAAAAAAAAGAAAAAAAAAAUAAAACUAUAGGGUACAAAAGUGAUACAUUUUAAAUUACAAGAUACUAAAGUGAGAAAGUGCGAAACUACAGGAGUGGUAUUUGAAGUUUUUUUCUAUGUGUCUAUAUUUAAAAAAUUGUUGUUCAAAUUGUAGCUGAAGAUUCAAUUUUAUUUAUUAAAAUUAUAUCUAAAUUAAUCAUAGUUUCAAAACAAUUAUACUAACUUUAAAUAAAAGAUCAUUUUAACUCCCUUAUCUAAUUUUAAAUAAAAAAUUAUUCUUUUAUAUUAGAGAUAGUCUUACCAUUCCAUAUAUCUCAAUUGUGCAGAGCAAUUAAAUAAAAUACUUGUAAUAAUUGUAAUUAAGUUAAAAUAUAUAAAACUUAUCUAAAUUGUGGGCUAUUUUGAGUCGAAUAUCUAAUCUUUUAAAAAUUUUGAUUUUACUAUCGAAUCUUUCAGUUUAUUUGAUUUUAGUCAAUCAACAGUAAUUUGAAUUUAAAAUUUAAAGUAAUUCUUUAUUUUAAUAAAUAUAUAGUUAUAAUAAUUGUACUAAAUAUACAAAUUAAACUUGUAAAGAUAAACGAUGCAUGUAAAAUUUGAAGUAAGAGUAUUAUUAGCUGAUUCAAAUCAAACAAAUUGAAAGAUUGGAUAUUAAAUUAAAAUUUUAAAAAUGGUAGAUAAAUUUGAAAAUUUUGAGUAGUAGUGAGGCAUAUAUGAGCAAAACCCUCUUAUAAUUAUAUCAAACAAAAUCGGCCGUCCAUUAUAUCAUAUUUACUGAGGGUGGAAGAUCAUCCGACAUUAUUAGAUGAAAAAAUGAUUAAAACAAAACUAUAUAAAACUAUUUUUUAAUAAUAUCAAAUAAUAUUCUUUCUAUUUUUUUUUUUUCUGAUGCAUAAUCUACACAAUUCCAAAGAAUUGGAGCAAGCUCAGACAAUUGUUUUCCCCCUCAUCUAGGAACCAUCUAUUUAGGGCCUAUUUGUUUCACCGAAGGUGAAAUUCAAAUUAAAGUAAAUUUUUGAAUAAACUAGAGUUUUUAUAAAAUUAUUUCACUGUUUUGCUUGUAUAAUUAUGGAAUAAAAGUUUUUUUUAGCUCUAUUAUUUGUUUGAUAAAAAAUAAAUGACAUAAAAAUUAUAGGUACGAAACAUGUGUUAAUAUUUUACUAUUAUUACUAUUAUUAUUAUUAUUGUUUGCAAUAAAUUUCGUCUGAAGUGGACAAAAGUCAAUUAUACUAUUUUUGGAAGUUUGAGAUUGCAUUAAAUAUAAAAUUAUAGUAAAUCAAAUAACAAGAAUUGGCAUUUACAACUAAGGAUAGGAAAGGAGCUGAGCCGGCUCGUGUUCGACACAGUAUUCGGAUUGGUAAUUAAAUAAGUCGAACUUGAAUAGAAAAAGAAAAUCAAAAUUAAUUUCAAACCAAGAGUAUUAUUGGCUCGCUAGAAUUUGGCUUGAAAACCUAAAAUAUGUGCAUGUGUGUGUGUGUAAUAUGUAUUUUAAUUAUAUGGAUAUCUCUUUUACGCCAUUUGGCUAUUUUCUUCACAUAAUAAGACUGACCUACAAAAUCAAAUUAAAAAAUAUACCUCUCCCUCUCUAGGUCAUUCUUUCUCUUUUUAAUAAAAUUUUACCUCACUUCUCUCGUUGUUUAUGAUAUUUUGUUUCAUAUCAGUUAGAUCAAUCAGAUUUGGAAUUGUGAACAGCAAGAAAAGUGCUAUUCAUUUGAUAAAUCGAACGUGUGAAUCUUUUUUUGAGCAAGAAUAUAGUGAAAAAUUAGUAUAUUUAUACUAAAAUUUGAUUUUACUUAUGUAUGAUUGUGAUUGGAUAGUUCAAUUAAUUUCUUGUUUAUAUAAUUUAUUUAUUUUUUGAUAAUAUAGAUGAAAUAGAAUGGUACGAAUGUUGGAGACGGAAGGAAAACCAUGAGAUUAGAAUAAAAAAUAUAAAUAGAAUUGAACAUCCAUUACAAAGUUAGAUAUAUAAACUCAUAAAUUAUUUUUCUUAAUAUUAUACUAUAAUAUUUUAUAUAUUGAGUCCAACUAUCGAUAACACUAAGGGCUUUGUGUUAUCGAGUUUUCCACCGUCAGAUUUAAUUCUUUAAUUAUUUUUACCUAUUAGAUUAUAUUAUUCAACCAACUACCUACUCAACCUUAAGGGGCCCACAUCAUCCUAACAGCACAUUUCUCAAUCUAAGAACUAAAAAACUAAUAGCACCAAUAGCUUGGUGCUAUUGAUAGUAUUCCAAUCUAGUUCUUAUAUAUUUACUUUAUAUGUUGGACUAUCAGAUAUAUUUUUAUGUCAAAUUCUAAAUAAUAUUCUAUAAAAAUUAAACUUUAGGUUACACGAUAUUAAAAAUUCCAAGCGGCUUGUUUAGAAUUUGAGUUCACUCGACUUGAAAUUAGACUUACUCAAAUUAAUUUCAAGUCAAAUUUAUACCUGAAUUUAGAUUCAAAAUUAAUUUCAAGCAAAACUUAAGCUAAGAUAAACUCAUUGGUGGUAAGUUCUCAAUUCUCUUCCACCCCUAUUUAGAAUGGAAAAUAAAUUCAUCACUCUUUCUUUUUGGUGAAACAAAUGCCCCCCAACCUAGUCAAUGCUAUGCUGUGCUGACCAACUUUCCCCUAUACUUUCUAUCAGUCUUUAAGGCACCCAGUUGGGUCAUCAAACUGCUUGAAGCUCUACGCAGAGAUUUUCUCUGGAGUGGCCAAAGCAGCAUCUCAGGUAAGGGAUGCCUGGUUGCAUGGAAAAACGUCUGUCUGAGCAAACUGGUAGGUGGGUUAGGCAUUUUGGAUGUCGCAAACAUGAAUCGAGCAGUUUUAGUUAAAUGGUGGUGCAGAUUCCAAACAGAGCCCCACCUGCAGUGGAUCAAGAUUUUACGAGCGCUCUUUUACCGAAGGAGGAAGCCCCUAUGGGAGGGCAAUUGCUUCCGGCCACACUCACACUGGUGGAAAGGGGUUUUAACAACCAAGGAUAUUUUCAAAUGGGAAACCUGCUAUAAGCUGGGCAAUGGGUGUUCUAUUGACUUUUGGUUUGAUAGAUUGUGCGGGAAACCACGUACUCUCUAAACAUCCUUCCCGGAGGUGUAUGCGUUGCUGGAUAGCAAACCAAUCUUGGUUAGGGAUUGCUUUGGAGGAACAAAUUGGAGUUGGACUAGGAUCCUGAGCGAGGAGGCAACUCGUAUGCCUGGCCUGCGCCCCAUCCUCUUGGAACUCAAAGAGAGGGUUAGCAACUUCCAAAUAGGGAUUAGAGCGGACACGAUUGGGUGGAGAUGGGUUAGCAAUGAUAUAUUCUCCGUCAGAUCGACCUAUGGAAUGUUGAACGAUGGGGGUACAACUGUACAAGGGACAGACGUGCUAAAUUGAUCUGGAGACUACGUAUACCACUCAAGGUCAAAGUCUUCUGUUAAUUAGUCCUUAAGAAGAGAUCUCCUACAGCUGAGAACCUUGUGAAGAGAGGGUGGACCGGAGAUAAGACUUGCGUGUUGUGCAGGAUGUACGAUGAGUCGGUGGACCAUCUAUUCACGUAAUGCGUUUUUGUUAAGUUCUUAAUGGUAACAGGCAUUGAGGAUGUCCAGGCAGGGGAGUUGGGGGGCGAUGUGCACAUAGUCUGAGAUAGGUGGCAUGGGAGGAAUGGAGUACAGAAUAGGAGCAACGAACUAACCAGUUUGAUCGCAUGCUGAAGGAGCAUUUGGAAGGCUAGGAACAACAGUAUCUUCCGCGACAUUGAAUAGGACCCACUAAUAGCGGUGCAAAAACUCAAGCAUCUUAUUAUCUCUUGGAAAGACAUUCGGUAGUUUUUUUUUUUUUUUUUUUUUUUUUUUUUUNCACCCUUGUAACCUAAUUCAUCUUUCCAAUGAAAUGAAGCAGGUAGCGCGCUAUCUAUUCUGAAAAAAAAAAAGCCCCCCACCAAUCCGAUCCAAGCAGUGGCAUGUUUGUUUCAACGUAAGUAGACUUGGGGUGGAAGUGAACUUUGGAUUGAAGUGGAGUUGGGGUCAAAAUUAAUUCACUUCUGCUGUUUGUUUCUAACUGUGGAAGUGCAAUUCUACGAGUUCUGUUGUUUAUUUGGUAGGAAAUAGAUGACGUAAAAAAUGUAGCUCUCCAUCCCCGAUAUACUUACCUCCGAAGCGAUAUCAUUGUCUAUUUUGUAACUUAGUGAAUAAUAAAUUAUAAUAAAUAAGAAUUAAUAUAAUUAUAUAUGUAUAUAAUUAUAUAUAUAUAUAUAUAUAUAUAUAUAUAUGUAUAAUUAUAAAAUAAAAUUUUAAAAAAUUAUAUUAUUUGUUUGCAUAUAAAUUAUAAUAAUACAACAAAUAAAAUUCUAAAGUUAAAAAUUAUUAACACUUAAUAAAUUUAAUUUUGGGUGAGGGCGAAGUUAAUUAUCCUAUUUUGAAUGAACUCGAUUUUCGAUACAGCGUAAACAAUUUCUCCCCUCACCACUUCCCCCUCACUUUCACCCAAACAAACAUACCCUGUAGGUCAAACCACUGAGCUUCGACGAAGGAGCGCGCGCGGGGAAAUUCACUACCACUGCUUGGCAAAUUCAAGUACCACGCUCUCCCCGAUAAUUUGUUAUCAUUUAAUUACUGACACAUGGAUUAAAAAAUUCAUUUCGAUUUUUUCUUUUUCGUAAUCGACUCUCUCUCUCUCUCUCUCUCUCUCUCUCUCUCGAGUGGUUGUCCCCUUCAAUACCCGUUUUCCUCGUGCUGUUCAAAUUUCUCAAUUUUAAAUUCGCAUCUACUUUUUCUUUUUUUUUUAUUUUUCUCAUAAAAUGAAUACUUCCGCUUCGGAUUCCCCCCUCCCCCCCCCUCUCUCUCUCUCUCUCUCCCUAAUAAUGAUAUAAAAGAAAAUUAAGGUGCUCAAAAUCGUCGAAUUUUCGAUCCAUCGAAGAAGAGGAAGAGAUUAAGAAUACGUACGUGUAUACGUAUAUAUACGCGAUGUCGAAGGCCGCCGCCGUCGUCGAGCUCGACCUCCUCGGCCUCCACCCACGCCCCCCCGCCGCCGCCGCCGCCGGUCCACCCUCCUCUUUCCGCCGGAACAGCUCCUUCCGAGGUAUAUAUAAUCUCUCCCCCCCCUCUCUAUAUAUCUAGAUAUCUCUAGAACCUUCCAGAACCUUCUAGAACCCUCCGGAUCAUUUCCUUUACUGCUCGAUCCUCGCAGAGAUGCAGUGCGCGAUCGCGAGGAUGGAUCCCGCGGUGGUGAAGAGCGUGAUCGCGUCCGGAUCGCCGGGAUCGAACGCGGCGGCGACGGCGAUCUCCGGCGCGAGGUGAGCUUCGAUGCGCCUCGACGCGUUGCGAUCUAUGAACAAUAAUUAAUAACACUUCGUGUGUUUGUGUGUGUGUAUAUAUAUAUAUAUAUAUAGAGUGGAAGCAGGUGAUGAUACCGCGACUUCGCCAUUAACGAUCUUCUACAAUGGCACCGUGGGCGUCUUCGAGCUUACCCACGACAAGGUUUGUAUCAGCUUCGCACGUGCGAACAUGCAUAACAAUAAUCUGGCUAAAUUGCAGAGCACCCCCUAUCGUUGUACUAACUUCGUGACUACAACUUCUCUGAGGGGGAAAUGACUUUUAAUUGAUUCAUUAAUGAAACGAGAUGAAAAUAAGAUCUGAUUAAAAUUAUGGGAAAAAAAAAUUGACAGGCGAAAAAUAUCCUGAGAAUGGCAGCGGAAGCAAGUAAUGGAGGCAUUUCAGAAGCAUCGGAGGAAAAGAUGGUGUCAGGCGACAAUGAGGGUCUGAAUGGAGGUAAACAUAACAGCAACAAAAUGUGCAUAUAGUCUUUGUACUACUGUCGUAUUGCAACUCAGAGCCCGAUCCUUUCGCCUAAACAUAUGUUUUAGCUUUUUUUUUUUAAUUAAGAAAGAAAAUAAUUUUUUGAAUAAAUUAAGUCUUCUAUUUAAGCUGUUAAAAUAAAAAUUUUAUAUAUUAUAUAAUUAUUAAGAUGGUCGUUUUAGGAGAAAAUUAUGGAUAUUUCUUUGGUUAGAAAUAAAAGUGCAAUGCGUGAAAAACGUUGAAUUGGAAACUUCAAAGGCCGAGUUGUAAUAUUGGGAUAGUAUGGUGACUACCCAUACAUUUUGUCCACAAGAAAAUGGAGAAAUCUAAAAGGACAAGCCGAUUCAACUAUGUACUAUUUUUGAGAAAUUUUGAUUUCUAAAAAAUGUAAUUUGAAAUUAGUAUUUAAACUUUCAAAAUUUUGAUAUUAUAAAAUGAAAUUUCAAUUUAUUUAAUUUAAGUUUGUUUUUAUAUAUGGCUCUGAAAAUUUAUUUUUGCCUCACCUUAUUGCGCUGGUACAUUCUUGUACCAUGUCCUUGAAUGUUUUUAUAUCUUACUUUUUUUUUUCCAUGUACAAAUUGACUUAAAAUAGUCAGAUUAAACGCACUAGAUACAAUUAGCUAGGAAAUCACGCAAGUUGAAAACUUAGAUAAUAAAAGGGUUAAUUUCGUAUAGAUUCUUGCUAACAUAGUGGAUGAUAAAUAUAUUUCUACAAAAUUUGAUUUAAUAUGUUGUUUCUUCAAAAGUUUUAAUAUUUUCAAAUCUAUUUAUUUGCUUUAUUAUCGUUAUAGAACUAUUAUAUUUUCAAUUUUGGCAUCAUAAUUGUAUCCUUCCAAAAGUUAUAAUAAUAUAAAAUACGGGGAUAAAAACGUCAAAAAUUAACCAGAGUUAAGUAUUUAACUUAUGAAUAAAUUAAAAUUUUCUAACGGAUACUAACGGCAGAAACAUAUAUAUUUGAAAAUAUUAAAAUUUUUAUAGGAACAAUAUAUAAAAGCUGAAUUUUAUAAAAAAAUAUAUUUGUCAUUUACUAUAUUUGCAAAGAUCUGUAUGAAAUUAAUCUAUAGUAAAAUUAUUAUUUUUAAAGAUUUGAUAUUUAUUUUCAAAUUAAUAAUCCGAAAAUCGAGUUAAUUUUAUAAUUUUUUACUGGUUUUGAUUACACGUCAAGUUGCAUCUGAAAAUGAAAGGCGUUGGUUGGUUAGGAGAGCUGCCAAUCGCGAGGAGGAAGUCGCUGCAGCGAUUCCUGGAGAGGCGCAAGGAAAGGUUGGUUCUUCUACCCUCGAGUGUAUCUACCUUCUCUUCUUUUUAGUUCCUCAAAUUAUAAACCCAAAAAAAAUAAUAAUAAUAAAGUAAUUUAUCACGUGAACGUUGAUAAAAGUAUUGUAUGAACUUGGUAUAUUGCAUUAAUUCAAACUACGGACAAUUAAAAGCAAGAACUAUACUAUAUAUAUAUCCAUAGACAAAGUGUAUUAAAUCUACUCGUAUUUAUCACGUGAAUGUUGAAUAUAUAGCUAGGUAAAUUUAAUGUUGGUUUAGAAUUUCUAAAAAUAUGAUGUUCUGGUCAAAAAAAUACAAGGACUUGCAUAUUUAUUAAUGUCUUUUAUUAUUUCUUAUAUAUAUAUAUAUAUAUAUAUAUAUGCAUCCAGGUGCAUCCCCACACUUUGCAUUUAUCAACCAUCCAUGCAAUGAAGUUUAAGUCGCUGUUUUGUUGUAUAUAAUUAUAAAUACAUCGUAGUUAUAAUUAUCUGUAAAUUCAAAUUUGGAUAUUUAGUUUAAUGUAUACUUGCACUGUACAAAUUAACUGUUGCGCCAUGCGCAUAUAUAUUGCUAUAUAUUAACAACUUUUUAUAGUGUGCUUAGUUACCGUGCCGUGUAGCAAUGCUAUUCUUUAAUAAAAGAAGAUCCACUUUAAUUAGAGAAAAACGCAUGCAGAGCAUUAAUUACUUAAUUAAUUUAAUCUCUUUCGUUUGGGUUCUGAUCUAUGUUUAGUGGGGUGGGUGAUAAUAAAGAGGGACAAAGCACGUUUUCUACGGAACUAGCUAUGAAUAAAUAAUUAAUUAAGGUGGUCGGUUACGUAAACAUUUUUGAAUGCUUUUUGGAUUAUUCACAGUUGAAACUUGAAACUAAGGUGAAAACGACUUAAAGAAAUUUUAAAAAAAUGUGCAUAAUUAAUUAGGUCAAUUUAUUGUGCACGCCUUUUGAAAAUUGUUAUUUUAAAUUACUUUAUUCUCGAUGAUAGCCACGGAACUUUUCCUUCAAAAGAAAAAAAAAGCUUUUUGUGUUGAAAACAUAUAUUAACUUGAAUUACCUUUUUCUUUAGUAACAGGAUAAAGAAUUUGGCACGUGAUGAACAUUAAUUUAAUGGGUUGGGUGUCUUUGAAAUUAAGUACCUUUUUUUUGACCUUCUUACUUUUUUUUUUUUUUUUUUUUUUUUUUUUUUUUUUUUUUUUUUUUUUUUUUUAAUGCUUUGUUUCCCACCUGCCGACAAUAGUUGAACUACUCCUUUCUUUUUUUUCUUUUUUUUUUUUCUUUUUUUUUCUAGUUGUAUUUGUAGCAAAGGAGAAAUGAAGGAACAUGAAAAGAUAGAAAUUUGGGAAAACUUCAAAAACCCCCCCUGUGGUUUCAUACUUUUUCAUUUUAGUACCCUGUGGUUUGAAGUGUAUCAAGUUAGUACCCUGUGGUUUCUCACUUUAUCACUUUAGUACCCUGUGGUUUAAAAUGUAUCAAGCUAGUACCCUGUGGUUUUGCACUUUAUCACUUUAGUACCCUGUGGUUUCACACUUUAUCACUUUAGUAUCUUGUGAUUUAAAAAACUAUAGGGUACUAACUUGAUACAAAAUUAAAACCACAGGGUACUAAAGUGAUAAAGUGCAAAACCACAGAGUACUAACUUGAUACACUUUAAACCACAGGGUACUUAAGUGAUAAAGUGAGAAACCACGGGGUACUAACUUGAUACAUUUUAAACCACAGGGUACUAAAGUGAAAAAGUGUGAAACCACAAGGGGGGUUUUUGAAGUUUUCCCUAGAAAUUUUGACCCUUUAGUUAAUUAUUUUCAUCUGAGUUUCUUUAAUAAGGUUGUUGGAAUUAUAUUAUGUCCUCUUACAAAGAUUUGGAUAAGAGAAUAGAAAUAGAAUAGUAAUUUACAUUCACAAAUUUACUAAUUAGUACAGUUGGUUAGUAUUUCAGUCACUGACGAAAAAAUUUAAAAGAAAUUAAGAAAAAAGAAUAAGAGUCUUUUCUAUCUCUCUCAGUGUUCAUUAAAUUUAGGGUAAACUUCAGAUACCACUCAUAUGGUUUCACAUUUUCUAGCUUUAAUAUCAUAUGGUUUAAAGUGUAUCAAGUUAGUGUCCUGUGGUUUUAUUUUUAUCUUUUCGUCAGUUUUUUCGUUAAUAUUUUGUUAAAUUAUAUACAAAAAAUUUUAGAUACUCCACCUAAAUUUAUUGAAUAUUCACUUUAGUACCCUUUAGUUUUGAUGUAUCAAGAGGAACGGCAGAGAGGAGGAAGAAGUUAUAUUCAACAUAUUUUAUGGGUAAUAAUUUCUACUUUAUUAUGAACAACUUCUACUUCAUAAUAUAUAGGGAAAACUUCAAAUACCCUCUUUGUACUUUCAUUUUUUCUCACUUUAGAAUCUUGUGGUUUAAAGUGUAUCAAGUUAGGACCCUGUGGUUUUGUACUUUUUUAUUUUAGUACCCUGUGGUUUAAAGUGUAUCAAGUUAGUACCCUGUGGUUUCGCACUUUCUCACUUUAGUACCCUGUAAUUUCGCACUUCUCACUUUAGUACCCUGUAGUUUAAAAACCACAGGGUACUAACUUGAUACAAAAAUAAAACCACAGAGUACUAACUUGAUAUAAAAAUAAAACCACAGGGUAUUAACUUGAUACAAAAAUAAAACCACAGAGUACUAAGAAGGUUAUUCAUUUAUGACCGUUCAUUUUUCUAACUCUUCGAUGAACUUGAUAAUAAUUUUUAAAUAUUACAAAAUUUGGUUUCUAAAUAUUUCUAAUUGUGUAGAUCAAUUUCAACGGUGCCGAUUAUUAAUUUGAAGUUUCGAUCAUUCAAAACGGCUUGAUAGGACAAUGUUCUCAAUCCUAUCAAUAGGAUAGUAGAUGGACUCUAUAUACAUAUUGUUAAUAUCUCAUAACAAAUUGUGAAAAACAUACUAGAACCUGUAGCUAGAGUAUCUAUCAACAAAGGCUUAAUUUUGCUUAGUUUAGCUUCAUAUCAUGCAAAGAAUUUAUACAUAUAUAGAGAGAGAGAGAGUUUAGCUUCAUAUCAUGCAAAGAAUAUAUAUAUAUAUUUUCCACUAAAUGCUUAAUCAUUAUUUCUUAUUCAGGUUGCCCACCUAAAAACAAUCAUGUGUUUCUUACGCAGGUUGACCACCUAAACAAUCAUGUGUCCCUGGGAAAGCCAUGUUGAGUGCCCCUUCGUUCUUCUAAGAUCAUACUACGAAGGAUACUAAUUAGUUUAAUUCACUCUCAGCUAAUAUGUAAUUAAUAUUACUUUAGUUUGUUGUUAAUUUGUGUAAAAAAUAUAUCCAAAAUAUCCAACGGGUCACUCGCAUUUUGGUUAUCCUCCGUGAAAAAGUUCAUUAGAGCUAAAGUGUGUGUAUUUCUUGCGAACAUUUUAUGCAAUUAAACAGUUUUUUUUUUUACCACAAUUCAUGUCGAUGUAUACUGUGGAGCUCGUGUCCGAGGGACCCUUCAUCCAAUGCAGGAUUUUUGGGCUGUUACAAACUCUCUUCGUUUAGAUCCUUACAUCUUUAUAUAGGUUUGAACCCUCACAUUUUUGACUAGUAUUCGGAUGCUAAUUAUAACGAUUCAAUCCACUAUCAAUAAUAACUCGUUGAGUCCAAGUCAACGGUUCAAAAUAUUUAAAUUCAGUUCUUAAUAUUACGAGAGUACGUGACCUCUUGCAUUUCUAAUUAAAAUUCUUUUUUAUUCUGACAUGCAUAAGUAUCGUUUGGUUCGAGAAUAAAUUUUUUUUGGUUAUUCCUGGGAUAGGUACAACUUUGGAUAUAAGCGGGAAUAAGAUCAAUUUUACGUUUGGAUGAAAAAUGGGUUAUUUUCAAGAAUAAAAAAAAUAGUGUUUGGAUAGUUAGAUAGGAAUAAUAGGAAUAAAAGUGAUUAUAGUAGUUAAAUAAUAAUAUUAUAUAUAAUUAAUUAACAUCAAAAUAUUAAAUAAAUGAUAUUUAAAAAAUUAAUUAACUAAUUUAUCAUGAAUAUUAUUAGAUAAUCAUAAAUAUUAAUUAAUAAAUUAAUUAUGAGAUUAAUUAAUCAUUAAUCAAUUAACCAUGAGCACCGUUAAUUAAUAGAUUAUCUAAUUAUAAAUAAUUUGACGAGUUAACAAAUUAAGCUAAUAAAUUAAUAUAUUAGUAAAUUGCUUAUUUAUUUAUUUAAUUAGGUAAUUAGUUAUAUUGGUCAAAAUAUUAAUUUAUUAAUCAAUAAAGAUAUUAGUUAUUACAUAAACACACUAAUAAAUAAUUAUUAAUUUAGCUAAUAUUUUAUUAUUAAAUUAGUUAAUUAUUAAUUUAGCUAAUUAAUUAAUAAAAUAAUAUAUAAUAUAUUAGUUAAUAAUAUUUUGUUAUUAAAUUAGUAGAGGUAUAAACAUAAGAAAUUGUUAUUCCACCAAAAAGAUAGAACAAUAAUUUCCCCCACUAAACGGGUUAUUCUAAAAUAACCCAUUAAGAGGGGAUUAAAUAAACUCAUUUCCUCUUUUAGUGUUUGGAUGAAUUAGAGAGAUAAAAUGCUCUAUUUCUACAUUAUCUCCCAACCAAACACUUUCUUAGAGAGUUUGUUUGGCUCAUCUCGUAAUGCUUUGUACUAUCGGACUUUCCAAAAGUAUCACCAAAUAGCGAGUUGUCACACCCACCGUAGGGCCCCAAGUCUAGAUUACACCAUUUGUUUCAAGUCAAUUAUUGAAACUUGAAAUUAUUCCACAACAGAUAUCGUGGUGCGCGCGUACAAUAUGUAUAGUUCAUGCAUAGAAAUUUCUUACUCACGAAGCCAACCUGCCACACUUUUACACAGAAUAAUUUCAUUACAAUUUGUCGGAUGUCGACGGCUGCGAAGCAUCCCACGAUAAGUAUGCGACGAAUAUAUUGUCCAAUGUGCAGAUUUUUUUUAACUCUAAUUCUGUAGACAAAUUAUAGUUGAUGAACUUAUUGAGCACCGUUUGGAAAAUUACUGCCGAAAAAUAAAACUUUAAUUUAAUAAUUUAGAAUUCAAAAUAAUAAAGAAAUGGUGUCGUGGUGUAGUUGGUUAUCACGUCAGUCUAACACACUGAAGGUCUCCGGUUCGAGUCCGGGCGACGCCAGUCUGCACUUUUUUUCUUUUAGUGAAAAGCUGGUAAAUUUUUUUUUAGAAAUGUUUGAUGGAAAACCAUUUACACGACACAGAUCUAUGUUUUAGUAAAAAAAUGGUUUUUCUAGGGAUUUUUUUAUUUUUUUUUUACCUCAUGAGAUCUGGGAAGAAAUUUUUUUUAUACUACACAGAUCUAUGUUUUAGUGAAAAACUGGUUUUUCUAGACUUUUUUUUUUUUUUUUACUUCAUGAAAUUUGGAAAUAAAAUUCUUUUACACUACACCGGAUCUAUGUUUUAGUGAAAAACUGGUUUUUCUAAGAAUCAGACGAACGGAAAAUACUUUUCUAGCCAAAAAAUUAUUUUUUUUUGAAAUAUUUUAUGGAAAACCGAACAUUCUCUUAGCUACCGUUUGGUUCGGGGUUAAGGAAAAAUUAGUUAUUCCAGGGAUAGGGUUAAGUUCAAGAUUAAGGUGGGGUUAGAGUAUUUUUGUGUUUGGUUGGGAGUUGGAGUUAGUCCAGGAUAGUGAAAAAUAGUGCUUGGUUGGAAUAGGUGGGAUAAGAAGGAUAGUGGGUUAUUAUGAAUAGAAAAUAGUAUUUGGUUUGGGUUAAGUGGGGUUAGCUAACCCGGGAUAGCCCAUUUGAGGUGGGGUUAGCUAACCCCACCUAUUUUUGGGGUGUUUGGGAAUAAUAUGGGGGUUAAGGGGUUAUUCCACCCCUUAACCCCCAACCAAACAAAGGCUUAGGUAGUAAAUAUACAGAAAACAUAUAUCCUACUUGGAAAAAAAUGUAUGUGUAUAAAUUUUGGUCUAUAAUCCAAACAAAUGUUUUAAUCAGGGGCCAAAUUUCCUUUCUUUGCCAGGUAGUAACAAUGAACAUUCAUUUAUUCAGACGAAAAAAAUGAAAAAAAAAAUCACAGCCCAGUACGGCUAGAGUAGGCCCGAAACAUCGGAAGUGUUUGGGCUUUGGUAGUCCCAAUUGGGCUGAGUUUGGGCCGUACCUAUUAUGGCCUGGACACUUAUUUUCUGACCAGAUCCAGGCUAAUCUAAUUCGUCGUCUCCUUACUUUAAGAUUUGUGUGUCGCACGUGAUGAUCUUGUUAUAUUUUAAGCUUUGUCCAAGCCUUGCGUGUUUUGGCUAAAUAGUUUCUCGACUCGCAUACAAAAAUUUACAUUUCUUUAGUUACUACAAGAAAUUAUGAUGCUGUUUUCAACCCAGAAGAGCCCAUAAAAGAUUGUAGUUCGAAUUUCCGGCGAGAAGAUAAAAGAAUGAAUAGAAAAGAAAAUAUGCCUAUGCCUUUCUUUUAAACUGGCCUCUUUUCCAACUAACCCCUUUUCUAUAUCUCCGUCCCAUGUCAGUGGGGGGCAGUCUAGUUUGAGGAGAUUGCGAAAGUAUUCACGAUCUCACUUUCAGAGUUGUGGAUUCUUUGCAAGAUUGAGGUCUGGCGAGGCCAGUGAUGUUAUACCAUUUUGAGAAUUGGUGUUGUGAUUGUUGGCUUAGAUGAGCAAGCAUACUACCCUGUUGCAGGAGGUCAAGUGGGUUGAGUCACGUUCAAAAUGGCAUGAGGCCGGAUUAGGCCGAGUCACAGUCGAGACCCGUGGGCGCUAUAUCUAUACAUUUUAAGUGAAUUGGUUGUGUAUUUCUAACAGCUCGAGCUUUUAGGAUUAAUGGUUAGCACUAACAAUUCGACAAAUAGUAUCAGAGCCAUAGGUCACGCGUUCGAUUCCCGCAUACUACGAAAUGGUGGGAGGCCAAGUGGGCCGAAUAACUUUCGAAAUAGCAUGAGGCUGGGUUGGGCCAAGUCAUGUUCGAUCCGAUAGUGAUAAUUGUAUAUUUACAAUAUUAUUAUAGUAUAAAGUUAUUAUUUUUGAUAUCUGUUGUUAUUAGAUUUCUAGUAAACUUCUUUGAGCAAGAUUUUGUUGACGGUUCGUGUAUAAGGUGUAAUCUGUUGACGUAACCAAAGACUUCCGUUGUAAUCCGGACGUGACAGAUUAAGUUGCUCACAGAAGCUCUAAUUGCAAUUCCAUACAAGGAUCUAGGUAAUAUCUUGGGCCAUAAAUGAUUUGGGGCCAAAAAUAGUUUCUUUACAAGUUCGUCGAUCGGGCCGAGCUCAAAUUUGUAUUCUUGUAUGCUGGCCGGGGAGGCCCGCCACGGUGAGAUGAGAAUUACUUCUGUCUCUAUUGCUAUAUGAUUCAACCUGGUCCCUGAUCCUUGUCUCACUAUAGGAAAUCUCACCGUAGAAAAUUUCGUGCGAGCCUAAGUUUAGGCCUCCGACUUGAUUAUAUCUUUUGCGCUCGUGGCCAAUAACACCAACUCUUAAAUCGACAUUCAGUGUAUAAUACGAAGGCCUCAGUUGCUGCUCUCACGUAGCUUAGUCUAUUUUUCUUAAUAAAUGAAGCAUGUAUGUAAAAUUCGCUACCUUACUGUCUCUCAAAAAUGUUUAGUAUAAUGCGUCUCACCAAAACACCCAGAUCUGAGCUAUCAGAUAGCAUUUAAUCUUGCUUUGAAUUCACUUAUUAGAGUUCUAUUUGACAUCUCAGAGCAGGGUGUCUUAGUGAGGCACUUUUAGCUGAUUCUUUUCUUCUUCUUCUUCUUUUUUUUUUUUUUUCAAACUACACUUAUUUCAAAUUUUACUUACCUUUUUCCACACUUCCUUGUCCAUUUACUCUCUCUCUCUCUCUCUCUCUCUCUAACAUAUAUAUAUAUGUAUAAUUUUUAUUAAUCUUAAAACAGAUAAUGUUGUAGUUAUCACAAGAGGUCCCAGGAGUGAUACCCUUCAUCACCUAAAUGUUCCUCAGAUGUUAAACCUGAGCACAUGACUUGCUUGUUCUCUACUAAUUUUAACUUUAGCCAAUUUUGGACCAUUAAUGGGCCAAGCACUUCUCUGAAAACAAUGAAGCCGACUGCAAAAUGAGCAGGGACAUGAAUUCAUGCAGUCCAAACCAAUGACCACUACCCUACAAAAGCAGUAGUCUUGUUUCCUCAUCUAAAAACAUUUCUAUGAAUGGCCAAUUCCAUCCUUCAGCCGUUCUUACUAUAACAGCAUGUGUGUCUGUGUGUAAAGAGUUAACCCUGAAUGAGCUUAUCAUCUUUGCUAAAUCAUUGAUUCGCUUUUUUUUUCUAAACUCUGGAAGUAGUAGUCAGACGUUUUGAUGAUGGAUAUGGUUUGCGCUUCUGGCUUUGAUUGGCGGUCGGAAGCAAAAACAACCUUUUCAAUCCGGAAAAGUCAGGAGAUUAUUUCCUAUUUUUGACUAUUUUGUUAGUUUAUGAGAUUUUGGUGUAUUAAGAUUAGGGUUUUUUAAGAAAGUCAAUCAGUACGCAUACUUGAGAGAGAGAAAGCCUACAUACUUCAUUCAUUAAAUAAUGAGUUGGGCUACAAAACUUAGGCAGCUGGGCCUCUCAAAAAAUGUGAAGGCACACAACAAGCAUGCAAAACAAGAAAGUUUUUACUUUUCUAUUCAUAGACUAGUGGCCGAACCAAGUAAAUCUAUGGUUGUAUCUUCUCUAGACUCCUUUAUUCACAUUAAUAUAAAGUCAACUUCAUUUUAUGUACAUUUUUCAAUACAGGAUUUGCUGUAACAAUAUUUUUUACAUAAGUUCUAACUGGCUACACCAACCAGCUCCUUAUCUGGAACAAAAGGCAUUACCUGCACUUCCCACACAUGCAUGGUCCCACAAUUGGGUGAAGUGUCAGAGGGAGCAGCUUUGAGCACCACAUACCCCACCAAAAAAGGCUUCAUACAUAUCAUGGGCCAUUGUGUGUGUUUAUGUGCCAAGUGCGGUGUAAGAUGAGGCCAUCCACAGCAGCAUUACUAGCUCUCAAACUAUUGUACACAAUAGUGAUGGGAUGGGAAGAACCCCCUACAACUGCUUAUACAACUCCCACAGUAAUUCUCCUGUUCUACUAAUUUUUUAUAUUAUUUUUUUUAAGCAGAUAUAAUAUUCACACUGCUGCUGCUGCUGCUGCAGCAACUUGCCAAAGCCCUUUUCAUCUUUUCUGUCCACAAACAUCUCUCUCACAUUAAAUUGCUCUGUUGGACUUUUUAAGUAAUCCAGAGGUUCAAGGAAGUGCUUUACAGCUCUAUGUACAAUCAUCUUGCUAUGCUAUUAGUGCAAUAAAUGAGCAAGGAUGCAUGCAUAAUGACAAGCUUAUGUGUAAUGUACCUGUUAAGAAUAACUGUAUCCAUUAUCUGUCCGGAUAUUUGCAGAAAGAUAAGGAGUCCUUAUCCAAGGCUAAGAUAAAAGUUUUCCUGAUCAAAAGUCCAUUGAGUGGUACGCAUGACUUUUCAGUGUCAACUCAUAGUUUCUUUCCUUUCCCCCUUUUGUGAAAGACUCCUUUGUCUUGCUUACCAUGCAUAUUCCAGUUUAAUUACAAAAUAUGACCUUUUCUUUUCUUUUGUUUAUUUCUCAUGACUUUGUACGUUUUCUUUAGUUUCUUUGUUGAGAGAGUAAGACAAAGGGAAUCAAGUACACAAUAGUGAAACAUCAUUCUCUAGUUGUUCCACGUAGCAUGCAUCAAAGCGAGCUAGGCACUCUGAAUUCAUAUUUCACCAGGCUCAUCUUCUCAGUAUUUAAGGUAAUAACUCGACCUUAAUUAUUAGUUCACCCGCACGAAGUACACUACUCUCGACCUUACUUCUGAUUCGACUUUGACCUACGUACCUCUACGUUAAUCUAAAGCAUUUUCUAGCUAGCUAGGUUGCCUACGAUCUGUUUCAAAUUCUUAGAAUGUAGCACUAAAAAUAAAACAUAAAAACGAAAGACUACUCCGACCUGAAGUACUACUCAUUCUAUAAGUGAUUUAAUUUCCGCAUAAUCUAGGCAUGUUUUGCCCUAUAGUUCAAAUUCCGUGUACAUCCUGAGCCAACAAAAAGUCUAGCUAUACUCAACCAUCUUCAAGAUUUAUUGAUGGAGAGUUGUUUUUAUCUGCUAAGAGAGAGAGAGAGAGAGAGAGAGAGAGAGAGAGAGAGAGAGGAAAACAUGUGGGGAUGUAUAGGCCACAAGUAUCAUAUGGACAGCACAUGCAUGCCCAGGAGGGAUAAAGACAACAUCAUUUAACACACUAUAGAGAGUGUGGAGAUCCCGGCCCCCAACCUCUUCCUCCUACAUAUACAUGCCAUAGUACAUCAAUGUAUUAUCAACCCCCCAACCCCAACCCCAACCCCAACCCCACACCUUGUAAAUUAGUUUACUCCCCACUAGACAUUAGACAAUGCCACACCCUACCCCAUGCAGCCAUGCUUCUUCCUCGGCCGGGUGGGCCUUCUUGGGCCCCACCGCCACGUCCAGACUGAUCUAGACCUACCUACGUACCCUCUCCCGGCCCUCUCGUUGAUCUUCGUACGUAUACGUAGGACCAGAAAACUUUCAAAAGUACCCUUUGUGUGUGUAUAUAUAUAUAUAAAUAUGUCGAGAUAAAUAUAGCGACGUUUUAAUAUAGUGUCGAAACAUUUUUAACAGCGUUCGACAAAAAUAUGCUUAUUAGCGACGCUUAAUCAUAGUGUUGAUACAUGUCAAAUAUUGAAGAUGCUAAAAUAGAGUGUCGUGUAAAAGAUAUCGUCUGAAAUAUAUUUUAUUGUAGUGAGUAAAUAUAUAUGUAAAAGGAAAAGGUUUAUUUCAACAUAUUAAUACUGACUCUUAAGAGUCAUUGUUAACAAUGUUGUUAUGAUCACCUUGAACACUUUAUUGUCGACCAUGUAAAUCAGUACUAAAAUGAAACUUUAACAUGGUAAUUUAUGCAUAAAUAUAUUUCUCCUUUAUAUUUAACUUCCUUUGUUCUUAAUAUAUAUAUAUAUAUAUAUAUAGUCCGGCUAUAGUGCUUGUAAAAUCACCAAGUAUUUGGUGCUCGUAGGUUUUUAGCCGUUAGAUUAGCACUGUUGACAAUUUACACCCGUUAGAUUAUACUAUUUAACCGACCACCCACUCAACUCUAGGGGUCCAUAUCAUCCUAACCACAUAUUUUUUAAUCCAAAGCCUGAAAAAUUUAUAAGUACCAAUGUCUUGAUACUUUCAAAAACAUAGAAGCUUAAUUUUAUAUAUAUAUAUAUAUAUAUAUAUAUAUANUUAUAUUUAGCGGCAUUCACUAAUUUAUGCUGCUAAUUUAUCCUAUUUUGCAACAAUAAUAGUAAAUUGGUGCUAAAUAAUUAAAUCUAGUAGCAAUUAUCAAGUAAUCCUGCUAAAUAUAUUAAUUGACAUGAUUUAAGUAAAUGUUGUGGAACAAAGAUUGCGGCAUUUAGUAAUAAAUGCUGCUACUUUAUUACAUUUAUUGUCAUUUUUUAUAAAAUGCUGGAAACUUUAACGGCAUUCACUAAUUUAUGCUGCUAAUUUAUUCUAUUUUGCAACAUUAAUAGUAAAUUGUUGUUAAAUUGUUAAAUCUAGCGGCACUAAUGCUGUUAAAUAUAUUAAUUAGCGUAAUUUAAAUAAAUGAUGCGGAGUAAAUACCGCUAAAUCAUGAAUUUGUUGUACUGACCAUUUUGUAGAAACUAGCGCGAGCGGGGUGAUCAAGGAUCGCUGCAAGGGCAUAGCGUCCUAGGUAAUGGACCUCCGUGCAUUAGUUGUACCCUUUAUUUUCAUCUUUUGUAUUUGAUGAAAAGAACUUAUAAAGAGGAAUUGAGUUCCUAUGCUUUUAAAAGUACCAAGUUAUUGGUGCCUGUAGAUUUUUAGCUAUUGGAUUAAAGAUAUGCGGUUAAGAUGAUGCGGGCCCCCUAGGGUUUAGUGGGUGGUUGGUUGAAUAGUAUAAUCUAAUUGUUGAAAAUGAUCUGAGGAGUAGAUCUAACAGUAAAAAACUUACAAGCACCAAGUGCUUGGUGCUUUUACAAUCACCAUAGCUGGACUAUAUAUAUAUAUAUAUAUAUAUAUAUAUAUAUAUAUAAUUAGGCUGGUAUACUAUCAAUAAUACCAAACUAUUUGUGCUAUUAGGUUUUUAGCCUUUGGAUUGAAAAAUGUGCAGUUAGGAUAAUGCGGGCCUCCUAAGGUUGAGUGGAAGGUUGGUUGAAUAAUAUAAUCUAACGGGUAUAAAUAAUCAAAGAGUUAAAUGCAACGGUGAAAAACUCGAUAGUAUCAAACACUUGUUGCUAUCGAUAGUAUCCCAACCGGACUUAGAGAGAAUUAGACUAGAAUACUAUCAAUAGCACCAAGCUAUUGGUGUUUUUGAUUUUUUAGCCCUUAGAUUGAGAAAUUGGUGGUUAGGAUGAUGUGGGCCUCCUAGGGUUGAGUGAGUGGUUGGUUGAAUAGUAUAAUCUAACGGGUAAAAAUAUUCAAAGGGUUAAAUCUAACGGUAGAAAACUUGAUAGUACCAAAUCCUUGGUACUAUCGAUAGUAUCCCAGCCGGACUCUCUCUCUCUCUCUAUAUAUAUAUAAGCACAGCAAUACAACAAGUAAACUAAUUACCUGGUGCACAGCAAUACAACAAGUAAACUAAUUACCUGGUGGUCGAUCGAUGAUCGAUUGUGAAAUCUCGACCGGUACUAGUUUUCUUUGACCAGAUUAAUUAGGCUCUUGCCGAUACAUGAUCUAUCAAGCUUCUUGCUCUUAUAUGUUUCACGUGGCCCCAUCUACAUGAUUAGCAAUUAACGUAGUUGUUGGUGUAACGCCCCCAAUAGUCCCACAUCGGAUGGGAUAUUGAUUCCGAUCAGUUUAUAUGAGGCUUACACGUUAAUAGUAAUAAUUGGGCUUAAGCAUUUUGGGCCGGUGGUUUCGGCCCAACGAGUUAUUGUUGCUAGCGGGUUGGGUCGUUGCAAUUGGUAUCAGAGCCGAAUACCAGCCGAAAGUGUGAGAACUAAGUGCUAUGCGGGACAAAGUGUUACACCAACGGAUUUGGUGGGAGCCACCUCUUGAACCCGUAGGAGCCACCUCUAGAAUCUCACAUCGCCUGAUAAUAGUCCUGGUUUGUCUGUCAGUGAUCUGGUUUGGACCCGACGAGGACGUCAGGGUAAUAAUAACUGGGUUUAAGCAUUUUGGGCCGGUGGUUGGGCCCAACGAGUUAUUGUUGCUAGCGGAUCGGGUCGUUGCAGUUGCAGAAUUGAACUCUUCUUUGCGGCUUAGACCGAACGCAAACACACAUGUUUGAGUCCGUGUCUUUGAAGAAAGAUCGAGGAAAAUCGCACGAGCUUGUCGAAAUUAAACAAUGAAAGUUACAUAUCAUGAAAAGAAGCAUGUGGAUAAGAGAGAGGAAUUAAUAAAAACAAUAGUAUUGGAUCGAAUUAAUGACAAGCCAUUAUUCACACAAGUUUCUCGAUGUCGGAUAUCUUAUCAACAAUGCUUUCCGUUUCAAGCCAUGAUUUCUCAUAGGAAAGGUACUGAUAUAUCUUGCCUCACUAAGGAGGUUCAUGCAUGUAAUGAUCAUGAUCAUAUAUAUAUAUAUAUAUAUAUAUAUAUAUAUAUAUAGGCUACUAUAUAUACUAUCUAUAGUACCGGAGUUUCGAUACUAUAGUCUUGUUUUCGAUUUUAGGGUGUUUAAAUUAACGAUCCACACCGUUAAAUAUGAUUUAGGGUAUAUAAAUUUCUUAGAAAUAAAAUUCUAGUUUUUUUCGACAUCGUUUACUUAGUAAAUAAAUUAUGUCAAAAUGGACGGUAUAAAUUGAAUUAUCUUUAAAAUUUGAGUUUAGGACUUUUAAAUUCAAAAUCAAGAAUGUUAACCUUAAUCUAGAUAGUUUAAAGUAUUUUCAAUCAAAAAUUGAAAAAAAUUAGAUUCUUCUACACCGUUAAACACCAAACUCGCCAUAGUAGCCAUUGAAAAUUGACAAUUUUUAAAUGGUUUGAUCAUAAAGUAAACUAUGUCGAAAAAAUAUAAAAUUUUAUUUCUAAAAACUUUAAAUACCCUAGAUCAGUUUUAACGGUGUGGAUCGUUGAUUUGAAUGCCAUAAGAUCGAAAACGAGACUAUAGUACCAGAGCCCCGGUACUAUAGAUAGUAUAGGAGACUAGCUCUAUAUAUAUAUAUAUAUAAUAUAUAUAAUAUGAUAUAAUACAUAUAGAAGAGAGAGAGAGAGAGAAAGAGAGAGAAGGCAGAGCUACUGUCUAUUAGGAGUACAGCAGCCCUGUGUCCGUAACUUCUAGCCACACCAUCAAGUUUGAUGGGUGAUUAGAUAAAAGGGAAGGGUAUUGUAAGAGAAAUUCAGAGAGAGAAAAUUGUACACACCUCAUCCGUCCAAUUUCUUUCCCCUCUCAUUCGUAAACCCCAUCAAUCUGAUGGGGUGUUGAUAGGUGGUUAGAAGUUAGAGAUACAAAAGCUGGUAUACUCCGUAAUAGCACAGUAAGCCCUCUAUAUAUUAUAUAGUAUAUAUAUAUUAUAUAUUAUAUAUUGUGUUGGGCUACUAUACUCUUAUGACAGUAUAGAUACCUUACUCAUCAAUUUUUAACGUUGAUUGGAUCGGGCAUGUGUGGUUAGGAUGAGUGGUGUCCGCACUUAGAAUGAUAGUGGUCCCCUAGGGUUAGUGGGUGGGUUUGAAUAGUCAUGAUUUAACGGAUGAAAUGAUCAGGAAUAAAUCUAAGGGCCAAAAAACUUAUGAGUAUAAAGGGCAACCAAUACUCAUAAAAUUAUAGUAGCUCGACUCAUAUAUUAUAUAUUAUAUAGUAUAAUAAUAUAUAUAUAUAUAAUUAUAUAUAUAUAUACGAUAUAUAUAUAUAUAGUAUAUACUAAUAUAUAUAUAUAUAUAUAUAUGACUGGGAUACUAUCGAUAGCACAAGGCCUUGGUGCUAUCGAGUUUUCUAUCGUUAGAUUUAACUCUUGAUUAUUUUUACCCGUUAGAUUAUACUAUUCAACCAACCACCCACUCAACCCUAGAGGGUCCAAAUCAUCCUAACCGCACAUUUUUCAAUCCAAGAGCUAAAAAAUUAAUAGCACAAAUGGCUUGGUGCUAUUAAUAGUAUUCUAGCAUAGUUCUAUAUAUAUAUAUACACACACACACACACGGUUGGGAUGAUUGCGAUCGCUCUAGGGUUGAGUGGUCCCCACAUGAUAAUAAUAUUAAUUCAAAUAUUAGAAAUGAUUAAAGAAAUGCUGAUCUAAGGCCAAAAAAUCAUAAACACUAAAUUCUCUAUACUUUCAAUAGCAUAGUAGCUUUCUCUCUCUCUCUAUAUGUACAAACACAACAUGUUUGCAAAAAGCUUGCAUGGUAAAGAUAGAUAUAUAUGUUUUGUGUAUGUAGUGCUAUGAUACAUACGGUGCCAAUGAUUGAUGAGUGACGCAAAUGCUAAAGCUAUGUGCAAGAGAUCAUAAACUAGAUAAAGGUUGAGAUAGUUAUAAAAAAAAUUAUUUUUUGGAAAAACGUGACUUAACUAAGUUGGCACCAAAAUUCAUUUGAGUUCGGCAAAUUUUACAAUAGACGUAAAAAAAUUUUAAACAGUCAUAAUUGUUUACUCGAAUAUCUAUUUUCAGCAUGGAACCCUAAUUCAAAAAAUACUUUUCGAGAUUUACGCUCUUAUUGCUAAGCCAUACUGGCCAAGUUCGGAGCUUAAAUUCAACUAUUUAGACUUUCAUUUUUGUAUUUUUAGAUUAUUUUCGAAAAGUUUUAUUUUGUAUUUUGAGUCCAAUUAUUAUAUUAUUUUUUAUUAGUUUAGGUUUAGAGAUAUAUAGAAUUUAUAAUCUUCAAUUACAGUAGAAUUGAGAUAUCAACCCUAUAUAUAUACAAGGCGUUUGGUAAAUAUAAUUAGAUUUUAUAAUUGAUUGAAAUAUUAUUCUAUUGUCGAUGAAUUGUAAUCUUUUUGUCUCUCUUUUUCAGUUCUUGCGCUUCUUCCUUCUCUACAUGGCUUAGGCCUACGUCACCUACUGAACUGAUGCUUCAGUUUACCUCUCGCAAUUUUACGUUUGUUUUGCGCAAUUGUAUUCGAUCAAGAUUCCUCAUACAAGACCAAACAAUUAAGUGGAUAUUGGAUCAAUCUAGUGCCUGAAAUCUCAAUCGACUGACUAAACAAGUAGAGGACCCACACUUUUUUCAAUGAUCUCGUUUCUUUUCUAUGAGUUUAUUUUAGACUAAAUUAUAGAAAAUCUUUCUGUCAAAAUUCGAUUUUUUACUUUUUCCUCCUAUUAUUUAAAAACCUACACUUUGUCUUUUUGUAAAAUGAAAAAUGUGCACUUCACAUCCUACCGUUAGUAAUUCGUUAGGGUUCCGUUACAAAAUAUUUUUUUAUACCAAAAAUACUCCUCCGCCCUCUUCUCUGUUGCUUCGCCUUCCUCCGCCUCGCCGCUUCGCCGUCACCUCGCUGCCUCCCCCUCCUCUAUUUCCUCGCCCUCGCCUACAUCUCCGUCUGCGCUCACAAACACCCCUUCACCCUCCUCCGCUGCCUCGCCUUCGCCCUCGUUGCCUUUACCUACCUCUCCAUCCACGCCCACCUCGAUCUCCUCCCUACUGUCGCCGAAAUCGAGAGGCAGCGAAGGUGUAGGAGAAGAAGGGAAGCAGGUGGAGAAGAAAAUAGAGAGAAACAGCAGCCGAUCGAGGCAUGAAUCGCGACCGAUCAAGACGGCGAUUGAAGAAGAUAAGGGAAGAGACGAAAAUGGUGAGGGGCAAAAUGAUCAUUUUAUCAUCACAGUACACACCGUACUCCCUGUGAACAUUUUUUAUUUUACAACGGAGCAAAGUGUAGGUUUUUAAAUGACAGGAAGAAAGUAAAAAAUUAGAUUUUGACAGAAAAAUUUUAUAUAAUUUAGCCUUUAUUUUAUAUACAAUUGAACAUGGAUCAGGAAAUGGACAGUUCUGUUUGCAAACUCAAGAUCUGAAAAGUGAAAAUAUAUAAAUAAAAUUGGCUCCUUCUCUUUUUACUGAAAUUUGAUGAGUUUGCACACUAAGCAAUAAUAACCUUUUAGCUAGUGACAUCAAACAAAUAGUCUUGACCGUACAUAGUGCAAUUGGGUAAGAACUUGAUGGUUAGUAUCUAAGGUACUAAGUUCGAAAUCUGAUUAUUUCACAUUUCAUAUUAAAUUUAUUUUUAAAAACUGAACGAAACGGUUAGCAUGCUAUCUUUUUCGCUACCUUUCUCUCUCUCAAUAUAAAAACAUGAAAAUAAUUUUUAGAUAUCUAUGUACGAGAAAGUUUGAGCUAUUGAAGGACCCUUCCCCAAAAUCAGCAUAGUGGAUGGUGCGGAGCUGCACAUCCGUGCAUUUUUGGGGACCCAAGUAGACGAGCGGUGCGGCGCGCAACCUCUCGGCCAAACAAGGCCAUAAUGAUCCUUGGCCAAUACAGUAUCCUCAAAUAAUGUCAUAGCUACAUGGAAAUAGACGCAAAAUUGACGUUGUUCUCCCUUACAUAUCCUAGUGUAGUUCAUAAAUAAACAAAAUAUUAAAUAUAAAAAUAUAAAAAUAUUAUUUUUUACUAGCUUAAGUUUUUAUCAUGAGAUCUACGUUUGAGUCACGCAAGCUUCUUGAAUAGUUGAUUUUCUCCCAUUAAAUUUAAAUUUACGUCAUGAAUCUAUUAAAAAGUCUCGAGCUCAAACAUGAGGGGGAGUGGAGAAAUAUCUUUCUCUACGUACUAACUUGAGCUUUUAGACAACAGCGGUUGUUUCACAUUAUUUAACACAAAAUGUGUCCAAGGUGUCAAUUGAGUGAUUCCUUUUUUUUUUCCUAUUUUUGUGCGCCAAAAUGAAUAAAAUUAAAAAAAAAUCAUGAAAUUGGCAGUAUGUUUAGGAAUAACUCUUAGCUCAAGCAUUUGUACUCAUUUAUACAUUAGCUGUCAUCAUCCAUUAACCUUUUCUAAUAAUCAUGUUUUCAAACAUAGAAAUUUUGGAUUGCACAGAUUUUUACAGUUGAGGGACUUGGAUCAAGUAUGUAAGGCUUAGAAGAGUAAAGGAAAUAGAUGGACUCUUCUCAAACUGAAAUGCUAUAUUAGCAACCGACUGUUCCUAGCGCAAAUGGCAAAGGACUUAGUGAUUGGUACCCGAGGUCUCAAGUUUGAAUCCUAGUUGAUUCAUAGUUUCAGCUAAGUUUAUUUAUAAAUAAAAUAAACAAAGCGGAUAGCAUGCUAUUUAUCUCUAAAAAAAAAAAAGAAAAAGAAAGAAGAAAUGCUAUAUUAGCCAAAUAUAUAUUAUUUUUUGAGAAAUUAAAAACAAUAGGAAAUAUAUAUGUUCUCAAACUGAGGUACAUGCUAUGGUCACAUAGCUGCUAUGGUCAAAUUAGCCAAAUAUAUAUAUAAUCCUUAAAAAGAGUGAAAACAAUAGGAAAUAUAUAUGUUCUCAAACUGAGGUACAUGCUAUGGUCACAUAGCUGCUGCAAAGGACCUGGAUAGAAACCUAGCUCAGGGUGCAUAGUACAUGCAUCAGAGAUUAAUUAAAUGUUGAAUUUGGAAAGGGAGAAAAGAUAUCAGAGAAUGCAUAUCUUCAUUGGCUAGUCAUAUCAUCUCUCUCCUCUCUCUCUCUCUCUCUCUCUCUCUCUCUCUCAUAAUGUAAAUGAUGAUUGCAACAGGAAGGUCUAUGAAAACAAUAAGUCAUUUUAACAUUAUAUAACUUCAUCAAGAAAAGUCUAACAUCAUCAUGGCACUGCGGCCAACAAUUAAUAGCAACAUCCUGAAUAUAUAGGAUCCCUACAUCUGUGCAUGAGACAAAUCUAAUAAAGCAGCAAUGAAGAUCCAUUAGAGGUUUAUAUGUUUCCAUGCAUAUGCUCUCUCCUCUUCAAUUCCAUUUUCUCCCUCUCCCUCAUCUAGCUACUCCAGGGUUUUGCUUCACAUGAACAUUGGUGUAUACUGCACCAAAUUAGUAGAGGAAAGUUGAACCCAACUACUUAAUCUUGUGAUCUGAGCAGUGAGAGGUGAUCUAGUCUUAUUUGGUCUUCCACUGCACAUUUACUGUCUCAGCUCUUGUUCUUACAUAUAUGGAGAGUGCCUAUACAUCAAAAACAAAACAAAAAAAAAAAGAAGAAAAAUUAGAGAAAAAGAAGAUGAAUGGUAAGAUCAAUUUGGUGAAGUUAAUUUCAUUAAUGGUACUCAUUUGAAGUUACCUCUUGCAUGUUAAAAGAGGUCCUUUUCUUUCUCUCUCUACUGAAACGAGCACAUGUCAUUGAACACCACUUGGUUGAGAAGGCCCUGUCUUUGGUCACCCACUUGCAUGAGAAAAUUUCCAGUGUCCUGUAAAUAAUCUCCACAUAUUAAUAUAUAUGAUAAAAUGCCAUUUUAUACUCAUAAAGGCACUCGAAACAUCCUUAAUUCCUUAAUCUCAAUUGCACGAAGGUUAGUAACGUUAACUUUUUGCGUAAAUUUAUGAGCAAACCUCAUGAGAGAAGGAGAUGGGCUCCGCAUAUUUAUUAUUAAGAGAAAUACUUUGGUACCCUUGUGCAUAAAUAAUAACGUACACACAAGCUAAUUUGUACGUGGCAUGAUACUAGUAUAUUGCUCGUUACAUCAUCAGCAGUGUACAUGGAUAGGUUUUUCGAUAACAACUUUUUAGGGUACUGGUAGUGAUAUUAUAGAAAUGAUUCGGUAUUUUUAAAAAAAAAAAUUUAAAAAAGAUCUUAACCUUUGAUUAAUAAAGGAUAAAAAUAUAAUUUUAAUAUUUAGCAGGUAAAAAAAUUAUUUUAUUCAAGAUUAGUUUGGUAAUUAAAAAAUACAACAUUUAAAGAAACCAGUAAUUGAGGUCCUAAAUUUAUGCAUUAAUUUGCACUAAUUUAGGAAAUUAAUUAAUUGAUUAACCAAAUUUAUGCAUUAAUUAGGCAUUAAUUUAGGCAUCUACUUUAAAUGUUUUAGUGUUUCUAAAAUUAUGCAUUAAUUUAAAUUAUAGGAAUUUUAGAAAUAGUUUUAUUUCUAAAUACGAUGAAUUUAAAUUUUAAAAUUAAAUACUUAAAAUUUAAAAAUGAAAUUUAAAUUAGAGGAAUUUCAUAUUACUAUUUAAAAAAUUGAAAUGUUGGUAAAUUUUUUUUCAACAUGUUUAAUAUGUUUUAGAAACUUUUAAAUUCAUAUAGUUUAGACAUUAAUUUUGUAUCACUUAUUUAAAAAAUUUUGAAUGUAGGUUAAAAUAUUUAUAAUUUAAAUGUAUUUAAUAAGUUAAAAAAAAAAUAGAAUUGUUCUACUUUAGACAAUAUGUUCUAAAUUUCAUUCUUAUUUUAUUAAAAAAAGAUUUAAAAAGCAAUAGGUAUGGAAAGAAAUUUUAAUGCAUAGUUUCUUAAAAUUAAACUCUCUUGCAAUAUUAAACAAAUAAACAAAGAGAAAAGAAAAAAUAAAAGAUUAUAUUGUCAAAUCAUUUGAAAUUUUUCUUAUAUAAAAUGCCAAAUUAUGAAAGGAAAGAUAGAGAGAGAAAAAGAAAAUAAAGAGAAAAUAAAAAUUUUGAAAAUAUAGUAGAUGUAAAAUGACUAAAUUGCCCAUGUAUUAAAAGACAAAAAUACCCUUUUUUGAGGUACCUGCCACCUGGUAACCGAUACCUCUCCCAAAGUGACCUGCUAUUGCAAAUCACCAUUUAAAAAAAGCUAAAUCUGAGCCGUUGAAUACGCGUGAAUGAACGGUAAUUAAAAAAAAAAAGUAUAGAAGUAUUACUCUUAUAUUUGCAAUGGUGUCCAAAUAGUAAGGAUAAAUUAUAAUUUUGGGCUUCAAAUUUUGACUCACUGUAAUUUCUUAUUCUAAUUUUUAAAAUUAUUACAAUCAAAUUUUAUAAUACAAUUUAAUUGACUAAACAUUGAUAUAUUUCUGACGUAGAAAUAAUAUACCACCAGUGUUGUGUAAUUGAAAAGUCACAUUACAUUUAGGGCGCGUUUGGUUUGUGCUAUUUUUUUAAGAUUUCUAGUAAUCCGAUAGGAAUAAAAAAAUAUGACGGUGUUUGGCUAAACGCACUAAGUAAUCUAGUUAGUAAUAUUAUAUUUUCUUGAGAAUGAUAUUCAUCCCAAAGUACUGAUCUCAUCCCCUUGAGGGAGGGUGGGUAUCCUCAUAUUAAUGGAUUGGGGUAAUCAUAAUAUUUCUAAUCUCUUUCUUUCUCCCUACCCACCGGCUAGUUGGUAUUAUUUUUUUUUACACUCUAACCUCAUAUCUCUCUCUAAACUUAUUUUUCUCUCUCUAAACUAAGCUCUCUCUCCCUCUCUUUUUCUAAAAUCUCAACUCUCUCACUCCCUCUAAUCUCGAUUCUAUUUCUCUUUCUAUUUCUUUAAUUAUACCCUCUCUCUCUAACCUAUGUUCUCUCUUUUUUUUAAAAAAAAGAUGUUGAAAUUUUUUGUGGCAUUACCUAAAAUUAAUUAAAGAAAAUAAAUAAAUUAAUUGUAUAUUUUUUGUAAACUUAAAUAACAUGACUAAAUAAUAUAACCGUGCGAACCAAACAGAGGAAUGUCACAUUCUCAGUAAUAGAAUGAAUAGGAAUAAAAUUAUCGGACAUCUUUUUAUUGCUAGUAAUCUUUCAUAGUGCGAACCAAACGCUCCCUUACAUCUAUGAUGCGUCAAUAUUUAGUGAACUAAAUUAGGUUGUAGACUCUCGAUUGCAACAAGUCCGAAAAGUUCGAGUUACAUAUUAUAACAAAUUAAAAUUAUAGAACUAAAGUGUCACUAGCCUUACAGUUUUAAUUAAGGACCAAACAUGCAAUUUACCCAAAUAAUAAUACAAUUACUUUACACUUAAAGAUCUUGAAAUAUUUAUUUAUUGCUUGAUCUUGAGGAGGGGAAAAAAAAAAAAAAACCUUUUGUUUUUUUUUUGGUUUUAAAAGAUAAGUUAUACAUGUAUAUAGUACCUGGGAAAAGGAAAUGGGCCCUUGGUUUUGUAGUGAAAGGGAUGUGGAAUUGCUUGUCAUGGGGUAGUCUCCAAGUGCCCCUUCAAAAGCAAUAGGUUGAAGAGGACUUGUUUCUGGGUGUACACAUGGUAUUGUCACUGACAUGCUCUCUGAGUAUUUCUCAAAAUUUGGGCUGCAACCCUGUUCAGAAUAUGAACUUCUUAGUACACUAUAGGAAUAAUUAAUUAUAUAUGUAUAUGGAAAGAUCAAUAAAUAAAUAGAUAAUGGAGUUUUGGGUCCUAUAUAUGUCAUACUUGUGCUUGAUCCACAAGGCCAUCAAAGUCCGAGCCAAGGCCAUAUAAUAUGGGACUCAUGGAAGCAAGCUUCAUGGAGAGGAACUGUCACAUAGAAGAGCAAAAAUAAUUAUUCCCAUUAAUCAUUGAUCAAAAUCCAAUUUUAAUGUAAUUGGUAUAUAUAUAUAUAUAUAUANUAUAUAUAUAUAUAUAUAUAUAUAUAUAUAUAUAUAUAUAUAUAUAUAUAUAUAUAUAUAUAUAAAAGAUUAUAGUAGAUUUAAUUUGUACCUCAACUUGGUUUUGGAGGGACUGCACAUAGUUGAUGAUCUCAUCCAACAUGAGAGCCUUUCCUGUGACCUAACAUCAGAAAACAGUGAAAAUAGAGAUACAUGAUGAGCAAGAAAUAUAUAGUUUCAAAAGCAAAUAAUUAAUAAUAGCAAGGGACUUGUUGUAUAUAUGUGUGUGCUUUUUUCCCAUUAUGGGAGAGAUGAGAUAAUUAAGAAGAGUCUACAAUAUAUUGUAUACCUUGUCACAGCCAGGGACAAGGCCUUGCAACAUCCUCAUCCUCUCACUUAUUCUCUCUCUCCUCACCUGCACACAGUGUCAUGUAGAGGAGAACAAUGGUAAUAUAUAAUUGAUUACAAAGAGCAAUGAAGUACAUAAUUAAUUAAUUAUGAGCCUGAUAUAUGAGAUUUAUAUCUUUUUUUCAAAAAAAAAAAAAAAGAUUAACUGAUCAGAAGGGACACUUGUGUGAUUAUUGAAGUGUGAGUAGCAUUCUUUUACCCUCUCAGCAAGGCUGUGGCUAUCUGUUGCUUGGCCUCUCCUUGCUCUGACAUGAAUGUAGCCUUUUGGAGGCUCCUCACUUGACUUGGCCUCACUCUUCACCCCAUUCUUGGCCUUAUUCUCCUCAUUCCUCACUUUUCUGGCCUUGCUGCUUUCCUUGGAUUCCUGCAGGAACAAAAUAAUAUCAUGAAGUGAAAUGAGUAGCUAGAUUGGAACCUAAUUGAUUAAUCUAGUACCAGUAUACCUUGGACUGAGAAGAGCUCAAGCUACUUCCACAUCUGCUCUUCCUCUUCUUAUCCUGUGGCUUAAUAAUAGCUGCUCUUUCACAAGGAUGGGGAACAGCAACCAGAGAAGAAGAAGGAGAGGAAGGGAUCAAUGGGGUAGAUGCACCAAUACUGGAGCUGCCACACUCAAUUGAGGAGGAGGCAUUGUUCCCCAUGUCUUCUGCUUGUUCAGCUGGUAGGAAUUGCAUCUUGAAGGUCUCAUCAUGACUUGGGUAGUCAUAAAUUGGUGAGUCUAGGAGGAAAGGGUUUUGGUGUUGGAAUGAAAAGAAUCCCAUUCUUUGUAUGAGAGAGAGAGAGAGAGAGAGAGAGAGAGAGAGAGAUGUAAUGUUCAAAGAGAAGGGAGAGGGCUCGGUGACUGAGAAACUAAUUAUCAUGCAAUGCUUUCCCCCAUAGCACUAGACCUGGCCUUCAGUUGGUUUAUAUAAAGCUGGAGUAGGAACUAGUUUCCUAUGUCACAUAGAGAGAUAGAAAAUGAGAGAGAGAGAGAGAGAGAGCACAUUUUGACUGGUCUCAUCAUCUCUCUCUCUUUUUUUUCUUCUCUCUCUCUCUCUCUCUCUAUAGAGAUCUCCUUGUCUGUUAUUGGAUAACAUGCUGCAGUGUUAGGAAUUAAAGGUGGCUAUUAAAGAGGCAACCAGACUAUGUAUGUAUGUAUGUAUGUAAAGGUUACAGCAGAAGCCAUUUUCAUUUUUUGACAUGUCUCUGGGAAUCACUGAAUGAUAGAAGCCACUUUUAAUUAAAUCAAGGGCCUAGCAUAAGUAGGCUUUUGACAGUUAAAAUUAGCCACUCAGUGACUCAGGUGACAUAGAAGCAUCUUAAGCACUAGAAAAAAAGGAAAAAAAAAAAAAAAAAAGUGGUUGCUAUAGCUAGGUGUGUAGAUAUUACUGCAGAGAUUAGUACACCAAGGAAGUAAUAAAUGCAGCUUGUUAAAAAAAAAAAGUUCCCCAGCAUAUGGCCUGCAUAUGAUUGACUCUGCAAAUGAUUGGUUCACGUCGAUCGUUUAAGGCCCAAUGAGCUUUAAUUCCAACAGUAGCCUCUGUUACUAAAUAAAAAACAAGAAAAAACUUCAAAUUACCACCGCUCUGGUUUCACGUUUUUUUAUUUUAAUGAGUGUCGUAUAUAUGAUUUAAAGUGUAUCAAUUUAUUAUCCCGUGGUUUUAUUUUUCUUUUUUUAUUAUCUCCUUCACUAAUUUUUUUUUAUUAAAUCGGUGAUAAAGUUAAAAUUAAAAGGUACUAAAGUGAAUAUUCGAUAAACCUAGGUGGGAUAUCUAAAGUUUUUUGUAUAUAAUUUAACGAAAUGUUAAUGAAAGAGCUGACGAAAAGAGAAAAAUAAAAUCAAAGGGUACUAAAUUGAUAUACUUUAAACCACAGGGUACUAAAGUGAGAAAAUACGAAAGUACAGGGGUGGUAUUUGAAGUUUAAACUAAAAAAAAAAUCUUUUCUACUAUAGUUAUUUUAUAUGGAAUAACCAAAAGGCUUCCACACAUUGCCCGUAAGUAUAAUAAAUUAUUUGUUUAAAAGAUUAUUUUAUUUUAAAAUUAUCAUAUAAUACUUGAUUAGAUUCUUAAUUAUUCUACACGGUAUAAUUAAUAAGCUGAUUUGAGGUAAAUCUUAUAUACGGGCAGGUAUUAAAUUAAAGAAAUUUUCUUCCAUUUCAUCGAUCAUUUGAAAAAAAAAAAAAAAAAAAGCUUGCAUUUUAGAUCUCAAGAGGAGAAGUACUACUUUGAUGCUUCUAAUUCUGGUGCAAAAGUUUAAAAAAAAAUUAUGAGUAGAAUGCUUCUUUUACUUCUCUUCUUCGAAUAAAAUUAUUCCCACAACAUUAUUUUUUUAGAAAAAGCACUACAACAGAAUUAGAUUAUAGGGACACAUGUUUGGGACACUUUUGAGUAAGUGUCCCAUUUAUACUAAAACUUAAAAAAAUAUCUACUAAUGCCUAAAUAUAAAGUCCAAUCCAACUAAAAAUAAAAGAUUACUCUACUCAACCCACCACACCCAGUCCAUUUGGCCAGAUUACAAACAGAAAAAAAAGAAAAAUCAAUUGCCAUAUUUUCUUCUCUCUUCACUCAAUCCACUGAAAUUCUAGACGAAGAACCUUUCCUGUCGUCCUCCUCCGCCACCGCAGCCAACGAGAUAGAGUUUCGGCGGUUGCUAAAUACUUAAAUAAGUGUUGGUAAAUUAGCAGUACUUUUUUAGGUUAUAGCGACACUCUUUAACUGUCAUUAUAUACCUAGCGACCCCACAUAUAGCAACACUUUUUAAAAGUGUCGGUACUUUUAGCUAGGAGCACUUUUUUGACAUGUACCUAUAUUUAAAAGUGUCGCUAUAGAUCGUUUUUGUUGUAGUGAAGGACGGUGUACAAAAGUAAAAUAAAACUUUAUCAAUCAUGCUAUACCCCACAUAGCAGAGCCAAAUAGUAAGUAAACCAAAUAAUGCCACCUCUGCCACUUUUACAGUAUUCAUUUUCUAUCUUUUUUAAAAUGCCCUUACAAAAAGUUCUUCAUGUUCAUACCUUCAGUAAAAUAAAAAUUACAAUAUUUACUAAACAAAAAUUACAACAUUUGCGCAUGCCCAUUAAAAUGUUAUAUAAUUUAUAUCCCACAGCUCACUACAAUAAAAACGGUAUAUAGCGACACUUUCAAAUAUCGGUAUAGGUCAAAAAAAAUAUUGCUGGCUAAAUUACCAACACUUUUUAAAAGUGUUGCUAUAUGUGGAAUCGUUAUAGGUAGGGCCGCCUUGAUAUUUGGCACCCACUCUACCAGCGAUCUGUGGCGGAAGGAUACGUGGCGAUCAUAGCCCUCUACGGUCCCUGCGAGAUCCUCAUAGCUGAACUCCAGCUGCCAGAACCCUAUUUCAUCGGCUGCAGCGGCGGAAAAGAAAAAGGGAAGAUGGUGAUCAAUUUUUCUUUUUUUUUUCUUUUUAAUUUGAAAUUGGGCCAAGUGGGCUGGAUGUGAUUGAUUAAGUAGAGAAAUUUUUUAUUUUUGAUUGGAUUGAACUUUAUAUUUAAGUCUUAAUAAAUUUUGAAAAAGAAUCAUGACAUAAAUAUGACACUUAUAUAAAAAUGUUCUAAAUAUGUGUCCCUAUAAUCUAAUUUUGUUGUAGUACAGUACUUACACAUUCUUCAUAUGAAUUAGAAGAGUCAUUCAACUCAAGCGGAAAUUUUGGUUUAAAUUAGAGAUUUACCUAUCAAAAACCAAUUUUUCAGAGGGCAUAUAUACAUGACAUGAAAUAUAUAUUAACUCUUGUAAUUAAUUUGUAGUAGAUCACGUAACAAAAUGAGUUUAGUUUGAAGGGAUUGUAGAAAAGUCAAAAGAUGACAUUGUAGGAGCAUAUAUAUACCAACUUUAUUUUUUAUUUCUUUUCUUUUGGGAAAAAAGAUGUAGCAGGUGUAAACACCCACUUUGUUAGGGGUCUGCACGCAUAAUGAGAUUUCAUUAAUUAUUAAACCAGAUUAAUGGCACCGUUCGUUGCCGACUUAAUGCUGAUUUUUUUUUUUUUUGUAUAUAUCUAUCUAUCCAUCUAUAUAUAUAUAUAUAUAUAUAUAUAGUCUCAGAAACUGUUUCUGUAGCAAUAUUGUCCUUUGCUAUUUAAUACCUCUCCUACUACUGUGUUAGGCACAAUCAUAAUAGACACUUCGCGCACCUCUAUCUUGUCUUGGUCAAUAUUAUUUGCAUUGUUUAUGCAUACGAGUAUGUAUAUAUAUAUAUAUAGAGUCCGUCUACUAUACUUUCGAAAGUACCGGGACCUCCGUGCUUGUAAAUUAUUUUCGAUGAUAGGACAUCCGAUUCGACGAUCGGCUCCGUUAGGUAUAAUCUACCCUAUUGGAACUAUCUAGAAACCAAAUUUUAUAAUUUUUUGACACCAUUUACUAAGCGAUCAAAAGGUCCCAAAAAUGACUAUUUUAACGGCCGAUGCGGCACGUUUUUAAGUUCAACGGUGUAGAAAUAUCCAAAUUACAUGAAAAUUUAAUAGAAAAUUCUACUUAACGUCAAUAGCAAGAUCAAUACUUCCGAUUUGAAAUUUGAGUCCUUUAUCAUUAUUUUUUAUAAGAUUUUUAUUUUCAGCCGUUCAUUUUGAGGCUACUCGUUCACUAGGCAAAAGAAGUCAAAAAAUUAUGAAAUUUGGUUUCUAGAUAGUUCCAAUAGCUUAGAUCAUGUCUAACGGAACCGAUCACCGAAUUGGACGUCCCAUCAUCGAAAACAAUUUACAAGUACGGAGGCCCCCGUACUUUCGAAAGCAUAGGAGCCUAGCUCUAUAUAUAUAUAUAUAUAUAUAUAUAUAUAUAUGGUGUGAAAUAUGGUGAAGAUAAGAUGAAUUAUUAAUUUUACGUACAUUGUUUGUAAAAUAAUGAAAGUGACAAUUAAUACAUAGAUGUUUAUAUUUCAAAUAAUGGAUGUACAAAUAAGUUAACUCAUGACGUCCUAGUGCUGAUGGGACUUACGACUAACUCUUAUACCAUAUUAUCUAUGAAAGUGUUUCAAUAUAUAGAUCAGAAAAUAAUUCAAGAAUUGUGCAUAUAUAUAUAUAUAUAGUAAAACCAUAAACAUACUCUUAAAUUGAGCGUGCAAUGGAGACAAUAUCGAACUCUUUUAAAUUUGUUACACAGGAAAAUAUAAUAUAUACAAAAAAAAAAGACAAAUUUGCAAUAAAAUUGUUUACAUAUAUAGGAAAUUAAUAAAUUUUGUCCAUGAAAUUUUUCGGCCUUAAAGAGAUCCAUUUGGGGUUACUCCACAUCAAGCCCAUAGGAGUUAGAAAAGAGGAAUAUACAACUGCAUGGCCCAUGGCCCAAUCUUAUUAAUUAGACACCAAAACAGAGAGGUUGAAAUGCCCAAAUCAAUUAUUUAAUGUAUACUAAUAAUAAUUUACACACCAAGUAACUAAGAAAGAACAGCAAGGAUUUACAAUAUAUUUUUUACAUCCACGUACCGUAGCCGCCGUGCAUGCACGCGAGCUUUCAAAAACUUUGCGUGUAGAAACUAAAAGAUACAUAUCAAUCACGCAAUUUUACUCAAAACACAGAUGUUCAACAUAAAAAGCUCGAUCCGAUCAGAGCAAUCGAGCCAGGCUUAUAGAACAAUCGACUAUCACACUUAGAGAACAACAGAACCUGAUUGCGUAUGUACAUGCAUAACAGGUGCAUGUAUUCGAAGAUUACGUAAGAUAAAGGAAGAACCUAGCUACGUACAAUCAUAAAGUUUCACCAACGCGCGCAACACCUCGAUUUUUCAUUGAAUCAACAAGAUAAUUAAUUAUUAUAGACUUAAAGUUGCAAAACCAAAAAAUAGAUAGAAAAAUUUUAUUUUUAUUUAAGAAAAGGCCUUGUUGGCUUGUUCUAUAUACUACCUACCUCUAAAGCUGUACAAAGAAGCCACGGUCUCGAACUCUUCUUCUUAAUUUUGGUGCCGAGACAUGUCAAGUCGUUUGUCGUUUGGGUGCGGACACGCGACCUUAAUUAAUACAACUUGGGGAGGACAAAAUAAACCCGAACUCUUCUUAGGUCGUAGGAUAUAUUAAUGGUACGUGCAAACUCACAACCCACAGGUUUCGCAUAUGUAGGAAUUAUGAGCAUGCAAUAAUUGAUUAACCCAUAUUUGCGGCAAAAAAUUUUGAAUUAAUAAAUUUUACGAUUUUUCAAUAUUAUUGAUCAAGCCAGCGAAAUGAUUCAAAAUUAUGGGCACGCAUAUAUGUACGCAUGUAAUCCAACAAUUUAUUCAUUAUUAGGUGCAUGCACAUUGAUCCAAUAAUGAACUAGCUUACCUGAGAUUAAUUAGGCUGUACAUGUCCAUUAAUUAUGUAGUUUAGCUGAGGUGACAGCUGCACUGACAAAUAAAGAUUUAAAUGUCUAUCGGUACAGACCGUAUUUACCGUGUUAUAUUGUGCAAGUAAAAUAUCAAUAUGAUACAGUCCUCGUACCGAUAGUACAAUUCAAAACCCUCUAUUUUUUAAAUUAGUAAGUAAUUUUUUCAAUAAAAUUUAAAAAAUUUGAUAAAAAUAUAUAAUAAAUAAUAGGCAUAUUUUGUUGUUAAAAAAAAUAAAUAUUUCAUAUCAUUACGUGUCGGCACACAUAUAUUUUUUGUGACUGGCAUAUAUCUACAUGAUCCGUCACGUACCAUGCCGUACCAUAGUGAUAAGUUUCCAGCACGAUCUCAUGCCGCAACACUUAAAUUCUUGCUUACAGAUAACUCUGUGAAGUCAGUGAAGCACGUGUUCUAAUCGUACAUCUCAUUUUAAGUAAAAUCUCUAGAUCUAAUCGUACAUCUCAUUUUAAGUAAAAUCUCUAAAUACAGAUUGUAUUUUUUUGUUAGAAAUUAUAAGAUUUGUUUUAGAGGAUUAAUAAAGAAAGUGAGAUUCACAUUCAGCAUGGAGUUCUUGUAGUUUGUUAGUAGUUUCUUCGCCUAAAAAUAGUAAUUAAUAUCAAUGAGUCUACCUGUAUUGAAAUGUCUAAGUGAGAGUACAAGUGUAUACAAUGAUUAAAUUAUUCUUUAUUGAUUUGUGCUACCAAUCGAACUUACGUAUAUUUAUUAGUGUUAUUGGAACUUCAACAUCUAUUUCUAUUUCUCUACAUUAUUUCUUUUUUUCUCUACAUUAAAGGAGGGUUUGGGGGGACCUUGGGGUGACACGUGUCCCCCCAAACCCCCCUUUACUCUCUCUCCCUCUAUAUAUAUAUAUAUAUAUAUAUAUAUAUAUAUUGAUAUCAAAAUUUAAAAUUUUGANNNNNNNNNNNNNNNNNNNNNNNNNNNNNNNNNNNNNNNNNNNNNNNNNNNNNNNNNNNNNNNNNNNNNNNNNNNNNNNNNNNNNNNNNNUUUUUUAAAAUUAUUUUGAUAUAUUUAUCACAAAUCUUUUUUCGCAUAAAUCUUUAUAAAAUAAGUUGUCGUUUUAAUAAAUUUUAUUUAAAUAAAAUUAACUAUUAAAUUAUUUUUAUAUAACUUUUAUUUAAUUAAUAAUUAGACUUAUAAAAUUAUUUAAAAAUAUAAAAAACUAAAAUUUAUUAAAAAAAAAUUUUAAAUCCGCAGCAUCGCGCGGGUAUUUCACUAGUUAUAUAAGUACUAUUUGACUCUCUUCAAAAAAAAAGAAAAAAGAGAAAAGAAAAAAGAAUUCAACUAUAUAUGUUCAAAAACACUAAUUAGCCAGAGUUUUUCGCUUUUAAAAAUUCAUACUUUUAUAUUAUAUGUCUUAAUAAUUGCCAUUGAUUGGUUUCUAACAAUUACGUACCUUUUUAUUUCAUGAUCAAAUAAAAAUAUUACUGAUCUACGUUACAUAAAAGAUCAAUUGUUUUCACCAGGUACAUUACAUAUAUUUCCACAUCAAGACAAGCAUAACUAAUAAUAGAAUAGUACCGACCGUUCCUAGAGCAAGUGGUAAAGGGUUUGGUGGUUGAUACACGAAACCCAAGUUCGAAUCCAAGUUGAUUCACAUUUCUAGCUAAAUUUAUUUCUAAAUGAAAUAAACGAAGCGAAUAGCAUGCUAUCUAUCUCUCUCAAAAAAAAAAGGAAAAAAAUAGUGAGCAUAAGUUUUAAUUAAUAAAUAAAUAUAUAUAUCUUGUACAAAU
rnacentral:lncRNA from 1 species